UUUUUUUUUUUUUUUUUUUUUUUUUGCCUACACAAAUAUAACAUACAAGUAUUACCCCAUUGUGUAAGUGUUUAUUCAUUUUGUUAUUUAAUCCCAUUUUUUAAGAAAUUGAUACUUGGUCCCCUAGCUGUUUAGGCUUACACAUUAGACAAACUAUUGAUUUUUCUUUUUUCUCGUAAAGUCUUUCCUAUUUUUAUCAUUACUAUAUAAAAAGUAUGAUAAGUUUUGGCAAUAGAGAGUAUAGGAGUGUAAGCAUAUUUCUAUCUCAGUUUUUGUUAUACCUAAAUUAUGCUCAUUUUUUAAAAUUAGAGUUAUUGCAUUUCAAUCAUGACACUAAUAAGAAAAAUGAAAUGUUUCAAUAAAUUACAUCUAAAAAAUGUUGGUUAUUGAAAUUAAAAACUGCUCAUUUACAACUAUAUUCAUCAAUCGUUUCCCUUAUCUCCAAUUAUUGGAUGUGUUAAAAUUUUCUCCAAUUAUUAUAUUGUUAUGUGUGAUAAUUAAAGUUAACUGCAUUUUAUAUGCAUAUUGUUUUAGAAAAAAAAAAUCAUGAUUAAUAAGAAGACAAAAAGUUAUAAAUAGUUCAUAAGAAAAAAAAAGCUUAAAUUGAUGAUUAAAUUCACUAUAUUAUGUCAUAUUGUUUAAGAAAACUCCAAAAAAAUAUCGAUGAUAUCGAUAAUUAUAAAAAAUAUAACAAAAAAGGUUUACAACUAUUGAAAUUGAUAAAAAUUUGUCAUAUCCAAAUUAGAAUGUUUUAAUGUGUGUUUUGCUUAGAUUUUGUUGUGUGCACUCGUUUGACACAACAAUUAUUUUAUGACUUGAUUUUGAGUUUUUUCACCGUUUUAAUACUUGCAAAACACGUGUAAGUGACUGGCGACAACGUUAGACAUCUGUCUUUUCUAUAUCAUUGGAACCUAUAAAUGCUGUAUAACAAAAUUCUUUAAAGAUUCUUUCUGUAGUUUGAUCAAAAGCGUUUAGAUUGUCUAUGUAUGAAUACAAAUGAAUAGAAACAAACAUUGCAACCAAAAGACUUUUUAGAGAAUCUUUUAUUCGCAAGCUUCAUAUCACUUGCAAACAGUGGUGAUAGCAAGGGGGGUCAAUUGACUCCACUUCACUUUGGGAAAAUUAGUUUUUAGGUUUAGGAAAUUUAGAAAAUUUUAAAGUUGUAUAUUAGUUGACCCCACUAAAUUGUACUAAAUUCUCUUACUCUCACCAAUAUUAUAAAAUGAAAAUAUGAAAGUUAUGGAAAUGCUAUUAGCUUGAAAGUUACACAUUAUUGUGAACCACUAAUUUUUAUAUGCAUAUUGCUUCUAUUUUCUCAACGCUAGUUUUGUAGGUAUAUAUCUCCACCCCCAAUUUUUUAGCACACAAAUCUUUAAAAUCUCAAGUGAUAGAAAGUGAUGAUUAAGAGAAUUUUAUGUGUCUGUAACAUUCAAAGUUAUGUUUAGCACAAGAAUUCAUAUUAAAACAAUCAAUGAUUUGACUAAAAAUUUACUAUAGUUUAGCAAAUCUUAUCUUACUAUAGAAAAAGUAGGAGUUUACUUAUCUAAAGGUGUAUGGUCCUCUAUGCAUUAUGGGGGUAUUGUGUUAUCUUAGGGGCAAAAUAAUCUUUUCACUUGAGCCUCGUCGAAAAAAUUAUACAUGUCUCCGCCUACUGUCUCUCUUCUCUCACUUUUUUUGGCUAUGUUCAAGAAAUCUUCCUCACAAUUUUCCUAGGUUUUGCAUAGAAGAGCUUACUGCCAUAUUUUGGUGGUGUAUUUGAUUUACGCGAUUUGUAUGUUGUAAAGCACUAAAUCGUUUGUGAAUUACCCAAAUAACUUAGUGUAUGUUUAUUUUGGAUGGUUUAUUAACUUUAGUGUAUGUUUUGAACUUGUAUAAAUUUGUUGGACACAGUUAAAAACGAAGCAAUUAUAUAUCACUGUCAUCUCGUUUUACAAUUGACCAGAUAUAGCUAUCUAAUCCUUCAUCUCUUACAUGUCAAUUGACCACCCUGUUUUAUGUCAAUUAACUCGCAAAACAAAACUAUCCCUCUAUUAUGCUGACUUUUUUUUUUCUUUUUCAUCGUUUUCCUAUCUUCUUUUAAAUUAGUUUUCUUUUGUCAAAUUUUUAUUUUUGAGUAAAUAAAAAAUUAAUCUAUCCACCAAUUAAACAUUUUAAAAUUUUUAUUCAUCAAAGAGUUAAAUUUUUAGUGAAAUUAUAUUCUACUAUUAUUUCCUUCUAUGUAUAGAUCUUAUGUUAAUUUGUCUCUCUUUUAUGUGUUAUAAUUCAUUCUCACAUAAAAUGUAGGAUGUCCAUUCUCUAGCUUAAAAAAUUGGAAAAACAAUAUAUAAGUGUUUGUUGUAAUUAGUUAAUUAUAAAUCAAUUUCAUCCAUUAUCCACAUUAAGAAAUUAAGAAAAAUUUGACAUUGUGUAGGUUUUCAAGUUAAAAAUUCCUAAUUAUCUAAUCAAUUAAGUCCGAGUAUUUCAAUUUUUCACAAGUAUAUGUGUCAAAUAUGUAUAAUGAUAAUUUUAGUUGAUCCUACAGGAUAUAGGGUAAUUGCUAUGGAUUUUUAACUUGCACUAUUACCUUUUUUUUUAAUUUUAAAGGUCUGAUUUUAUUGCUUUAAGCAAAAAGCCAGUGCUGGAGGGAGGCAUAGACCGUACCUCCCAAGAGGACGCUGCAUGUAUCAAAACUAGGGUAGACCUAGCAUUUUCAAAGGGAAAGGAGCCCAAGCCUGUCUAACCUAAAUGCCCCUCAGGCUUGAGUAGGGAGCUCCGAAAGAUGAUGAUAGGUUCUGUCAUAGCCUUCGUCACAGCCAAUAUUAGAUAAGCUAUCAGCCACUUGAUUACCCUCUCGGAAGCAAUGAGAGAUGCUAGUGACAUGGGGCAGCAGCUGAAGGAGCGACUGGACUUCCAUAUCAAUACUCCACGGGCAUCGAAUUGCUUGCUGCACUAUCUGAACGAGUACCAGAGAGUCCACCUCCACGUGCACUCCCACAUAGCCACAAGAGAUGCACAAGUUAACCCCAAAGAGAAGAGCCCUUGCCUCAGCCUGGAUGCUAGUGCAGCUCCCAACAAAUGUGGAAAAAGCGAGCAGGAGCUUACCCUCGCCAUCACGUAAAACACCACCACCUCCCGGCCGUCCCGGAUUGCCCCUGGAACUGCCAUCCGUGUUGAGUUUAAGCUCCCCCAUUAUAGGCCUCAACCACUAUUACCUAAACAAUCAAGAAUUUAAGUAAAAGUAAUGCUAGCAAAAUGGCAAGGUUCAAAUUAGUAGAAGGAAUUUCCUUGGAUUUUUGAAUCCCUUGUUGCUCAAGAUAAGAAAUUAACUUGGUUGAUUUAGGCUGUUAAUGUGUAACACAUCAAAGAUAUACUGCCAAUUUUAUUCAAAUAAUGCUUUCGCCAUUACCCAAACAUACUCAUAGCAAGUUUAUGAUGAGUUAACUUGAUACAAGUUCAUUAAGAUAUAUGAAGUAGUAAAAUCAAAUCUACCUAAAUACAUUUCCUACUUUCAUGAAUAUGAUUUUUAGGGUUUGAGAAUCUUGGUCUACACUUGUAUGGCAACAUUUAAUGUACAAUAAAUGAUUGGAUAAUUCAUAGUUGGUGAUCAAACAACUACAAUAUAAAGUGUGUGUGUGUGUGUGUAUGAACUAACAAGUUUCAUGAAAUAACCAAGAUCAACACAAGUUAGCACAUAUAUAAAAACUACAAGUUCACCUUUACCCUAAGAGCAAAUAGUUUAGGUAGACAUGAAAUCUAACAUGAAUAAGCUCAUGACACAUUUGCAAUAGAGCAUGAAUAAACACAAGGAGAUAGGAAGUAAAAUUUGAAGAAAUCUUAUUCCUAUGGAUGAAUCAAGCUUCUCAAACUCCACUUUUACAAUUGUUUACUUCUAGUUCUUAAAACAAUAGUGUUUCCUCCUAACUAAAAAUACCUCACCUUUUGCUUUCUACCACUACUUCUACUAACUAAAGCUCUCUUCUCUCUAACUCUUUUAAUCUUGAAAUACAAUGUGUAUAUAUAUAGAAGUUAGAAUGAACGAAAGUUUUCAAUGAAAUAACAUAAAGCUUCUUCACAAACUUUUAGGGUUUCUUGGGCAAUUACAAUUGAAAUUUCAGCUGAGAAAUGAGUUGUAAAAGUUCUGAAAAAAUAAAGUAAGUAGCUAUGCAAGUUGCACACCCACCUUAAGAAUAUGUGGGGUCAAUAUGCGUGGGUGGGUUGCAUAUUACAUAUCCUCGUGUUUUUGCUUCUCCUAUAUCUUCUUUGUCUUUUUCUGCUCAGCACAAUACCGAGGGGAAGGGGGUGAAUACUCGCAUUUUGGUUGGCAUUUUCUACCCAAAAUGCUGAUCUUGUUUGUUUUGUUAUUUCCAAAGCAUCUUCAAAUCGUGUCUAAUGUUAUUGCAUGAAUUCCACUUGAUCCAAAGUAACCAUGAAUUACCAAAUCCUACAAAUGUAAAAAGUUUUGCACAUUAAACUGCUUAAAUGCAAGUUUUGGUUAUAAAAUGGAACUUAUGUAAAAAUAGUAUCUUAAAAGAGCAAUUUUCAUCCUUAAACCUUAAAAACAUUCCAAAACUAAAUAAACACAUUUAGGAACAUGUAAAUAAAAUACUUAUCAAAAUUUAUUAUUUACUUUCAUUAUAAUUAGACAAUUCAAAAUCAAACACUCAUUUUUUACAAUCACAUUCACGUGCUCAUUAUUUGGCCAUCCUUUUCUUCUUUUUCCUCUAAUGGAUUUUUCUUACUAGGAUCUUUUCUCUACCUUUUUUUCAAAAAAUUGAUCUUUUUUAAUUUUUUUUAAUAGGGAAAGGAUAGGAUUUAAGAAGUGGGAGCGAAGAAGGAUAUUUAAAUAGUAAAAUAUCCCAAAAAAUUGAACUGCAAAGAACUGUAUAUAUGUAUAUAUUUUUAUGAACCGGGUUAUUUUAUUUGAUAACAAUUAAGGAGGGCAUACAUGGAAAUCAAAGCCAAAACUAGCGCUAUCUUAACCUACGCCCUAACUCUACGUAAACUUGGAACAUCCAUCUGAUCAAGAGCGACGUCACCUCUCACCAAGCGAGGCAAAUCACGCAACGAGCCAUAUGUUAGAGUUUUUUCCUGAGUCCGUACCAAUGUUGGCAAGGCGGUCAGCCGGUUUAUUUGCUUCACGAAAGCAGUGUGAUACCUUUCUAACAAACCUACUGACUUUUAACAUGUCCUGUAAGUCCCCUUGCAAACGCCAUGGCCAUCGAGUCUUCCCUAAAAUGAUCUGAACCAGAACUAAAGAGUCAGAUUCUAAGUGUAAAUCGGAAUACCCACGCGCAAUAGCUAGCCUAACACCAAAAAGCAACGCCUUCAAUUCAGCCUGCAAACUUGUCAUCUCCUCAAAGAAGCACGAAUACCCCAAAAGAAACCUUUCUUCCGAACACCGAAACACCCCCCACCUCCACUCACUCAUGGAUUUCCCCAAGAGCAGCCAUCUGAGUUCAGCUUGACCACCGAGUGAUCUAGGCAGCUCCACCAAACCACCAAGGUACUAGAAAUCCCGUGCAAACCAGCCACUAUACCGUAAAAACCUGGCCAAUCCUGACCAGAGGUUCUGAAGCCCUGAAACUUAAGGAGGAAAAUGCCCCCGAGAUCCCCAAAAAUUGCUGCACAAACCUAAGCCACGGGCCGCAGAUGGCCAUCAAAUACAAACGAGUUCCGCAUCUUCCACAAAUUCCAACAAAUUAAAGACGGCAAUAAACAGAGUAGAUACUGAAAAUAUCGGUUCCGAGUAGGCAUCAACCACUAGCUAACCAACUUGUGGCGUAGCAUAGAGGAAUCCCGAAACCCUCCAAUCACCCCUUCGAAAUAUCCCCAAAUCCUCUUUGCCGCCACCCUGGUACAGAAAAUGUGAUCAGUAGACUCUUGACAUGGAUGUAGACAACAAAAACAACGAGAGGGACUGAAUAUACCAAGUUUAUGCAACCUGUCCAUCACCGGCAAUUGGGAUCCUAUCAACCUUAACAUGAAAAAAGAAAUCUUUAUCGGCAGCCCUUGAAGCCAGGGUCGUGAGUAGAGCCAAGAGUUGUUGCCACCCUCUCGAGCGAUCCGGUAGGCUGAUGCUAACAAGAAGGCACCGGAGGUACUAGGAGCCAAACCAUGGUAUCCGCUUGGUCCAGCUAAGGAGGCACAACUCCCAUAAUCCUCCCCACCCAUCCUCCAGGUGCUACCUCGCUCAACCACUAUACAUUCCAGCGACCCUGUUCAACAAAAUCGGAAACGUUACACUCCUGAAAAGUAUCUACAUGACGACAUAAUGGACCCGUCCCCAACCAAUUGUCAUGCCAGAAGCUAACACCACCCUUAGCCAAAACCCAGUGGAUGUGUUGCUCCACUACACCCUGGAUAGCCACCAUUCUUUUCCAAGUCCAAGAAUCCUCGGGAGAAGUAUCAGCAAAGCAAGGAUGAUGGUUGGAGCAAUAUUUAAGGUUCAUGAACUCAGCCCACAACAAUUGCCGCAACCGGAAGUGCCACCAUAGUCUCAUGGAGAAGGCAUCAAACACGUGCUUUAGGGAUCUCAAACCAGCACCCCCCUGUCAUAUGAGUUGCACAACUGGUCCCACUUGAUCUAGUGGAAGCGUGGCCCAGCCUCUGAGGAGCUCCAUAGAAAAUCAGCAAAAAUGCUCUCCAUCAAACUGAAUAUCGACUUAGGAGAGGUUGAUGCAGCGAAUAUGUGAAUAGGCAUAGAGGAGAGCACACUCUUGAUUAGAAUUAAUUUACCACCAUGCGAGAGUAGCCUCCCUUUCCAUGACAACACUUUACUCGUGACUGAUUUACAAACCCUUGCAAAGUAGCAUCUCUUUCGCCGCCCUGCAUAUAGAGGACAACCCAAAUAUUUAACCGGAAACUCCUUCGACUGAAAACCAGUCAUCUCCGCAAUCAACCGUUUCCUACUCCCGGGAAAAUUGACAUGAGUCAAGACACAACUCUUUUGCUGGUUCACCUUUUGAUGAAAGAAUUGUAUAUGUAUUAUCUUCACGAUUCAGCAGGGGUGGUGAGCAUCAUUAACUGAGUGUAUGUAACUCAAAUCAAGUUUCUCAUAUUUUUUUCUUGUACUUAAUAAGUUGAACGCAUUUAUAUUAGGAAUGAUGAAUGUGAGGCCCUUAAAUUGGAGACCACGUUUUACAGUCAUUGAACGAAAUUUAAGAAUGUAUCCUAGGUUUUAAGAGCACGAAAUUCUAUUUUUAAUGUUCCAAAGGAAUGUUGAAUUAACGAUGUAUCUCCAAAUUCUCUACUUAUCCUUUUAGCGGUUGUUGGAAUUUUAGCGUAACUUAAUUAAUUUUUUUGGAUAUUCAAUUAUACCCUUAUUAAUUGACUAUCGAAGUUUCAUAUUAUACUCUCUUUAAUUUUUUAUGAUGAUUGUUGUCAUCUUAGUUUUAUUAAUCUAAUUAUGCACUUAUUAAAUUGAUGAUUGAUGUUUCAUAUUUUGCUCUUUUUAGUUUUUAAUUUAUUAUGAUGAUUAAAAUUCAUUACAUCAUAACUAUUGAUUUAAAGGAAAAUAAUUGUUGAUGACAAGAUAAAAUGUUAAGAGACACUAAGCAGUAUCUGGUCUUUGUUUUCUAUUGGUCCAAAAUACCAUUCUUCCUAAUAAUUAGAUUUAUUGCAUUUCAAUAAUAGUAAUUACUGUAGUAGUAAUGAAAAAACUAUAACCUUAAUUAAAUUUGAAUUAUGAAGAUAAUAAACAAAAUAUAAUACUCCAAAUCAAUGUGUCUUUUUGCAUUCUAUUUUCAGUUUUUAUUUUCGUUAAAAAUUCUGGAUUAGUCAUAGCUUAAUUAAAUUUUUAAAUCUUCAAAAAUAUAUCAAAAGAAGGUGUUCUUAGGAUAAUAGAAUCUUUGUCAUUUAUGCUUUAUGCUAGAUUUUGUCCAAAAAAUUAGAAGAUGAAAAAAAUAAAAGAAACACAAUAAAAUUUCAGCUCCCAAAAAAUGAAUAGUUAGACAGAAAAAAUUGAUAUGUGGUGGAUGAUUUAAGCUCCAUUGUUAAUAGAAAUAGCAUACAAAAUAUACAAAGAGUUCUCAUUUUUUCCAAAAAUGGUGCAUAUAACUUCAUAUUGAGGAAGCAUUACUAUAUAAAAAGUAGUAUGAGUUUUGGUACUUUAGAAUGUAAAUGUAUGCAUUAUUGUGAUCUUAAUUUUUGUUAUUUCAAUUAUGCCCUUAUUAAUUGAUGAUUGAAGUUUCAUAUUAUGCUCUUUUAAAUUUAUUGUGAUGAUUAAAAUUCAUUAUAUAAUAUCUAUUGAUUUAGGAGAAAAUAAUGGUUCAUUAUUAUUAUUAUUACUAUAUAAAAAGUAACAUGAAUUUGGCACUUUGGAGUGUAAGUGUAAGCAUUAUUGUGAUCUUAGCUUUUAUUAAUCCAAUUAUGCCCUUAUAAAUUAAUGAUUGAAAUUUUAUAAUAUGCACAUUUUAGUUUUUAAUUUAUUAUGAUGAUUAAAAUUCAUUAUGCCAUAGCUGUUGAUUGAAGGCAAAAUAAUAGUUGAUGACAAGAUAAAAUGUUAAGCAUUAGAGACUAAAUAGGAUCUGGUUAAACUCUGUCAAAAUUUUCUAAAAAUAAAAUAAAAUAAGAUUUUGUUUAAAAAAAAAAAGGAUCUGGUCUUUAUUUUCUACUUGCCCAAAAUGCCUUUCUUCCUCAUAAUUUGAUUUAUUGCAUUUCAAUAAUAGCAAUAACUAUAGCAGUUUCAAAAAAAGAUUGUAACCUUAAUUAAAUUUGAAUUAUUAAGAUAAUAAACAAAAUAUACACUCCAAACUAAUGUGUCGCUUUGCAUUCUAUUUUCACUUUUUCAUUUCCAUUAUAAAUUCUUAAUUAGUCACAGCCUAGUUAAAUUUUCAAAUCUUCAAAAAUAUUACUAUUGAUUUCUUAAAAUAACAGAAUCUUUGUCGGUUGUGCUUUAUGUUGGAUUCUAUCCAAAAAAAUUCAAAAAGAAAAGAAAAGAAAAAGUAAUUAUCUCUACCAAUAAAAUUUUAAUUAUCACGAAAUGAACAAUUAGACAGAAAAAAAUUAUAUGUGGUGGAACAUUUACACUCCAUUGUUAAUAGAAAUAGUACACCAAAUAAUACAAAGAGUUCAAUUUCAAAGAAUACAUAUCUCUUCAAUUUUCAAAAAAUAGUGCAUAUGAUUUCAUAUUGAGGAAUUUCAUCAAGCAAUUGACAAAUUCAACUUAUGUAACAUGAAAAAUAAUAAUCGUAGUGCAUGCAACUGAUAUUUUUGUAAACAAUUAUUCUAUUUUAUUUUAUUUCAUUUCAUUUUUAGCCUCCAAUCCCUCCCUACACUCUUUUUCAUCCCUAAUUGUUAGGUAUAGAAUUCGAAUCCUGAACCUGACAUUAGAGAAAACGCUAAAAACUCUCUUCUGGUCAUUGGGUCAACCUCAAUGGUUGGAAAACAAUUAACAUUUGGUUAGCAUGCAAAUUCAGGUUAUCCUAACUCCAAAUAAAACAUAAAAAACUGUUCCUAUAUCUAAUUAAAAAUAAAAAAAUUUAGUUUUAUUAUCAUAAUUUAUUUGUCUUGGGAAAAAGAAAAACCAAAAGAAAUAAUUAUUAUUAUCAAUAUUGUACAUACCAAUCAAAAUAUUGAUACUUUUGUCAAAUCAUUUCAUAUUUGGUCAAAUCUUUAUUUUCUUAAAUGUUAAUUUUUCAUCUUCUUUACUUAAUUGUCCUUAAAACCGUUAUUUUAAAUUGAAAGAGACCAAAUGUAUCCUCAUAUGUUAAAAUUUCUCUAGAGACUUUAUAUGAUUUGAUACAACAUUUAGUGAACCUUUUUUUCCUUUUAAAAUAAUGGUUUUAAGGACAAUUAAUUAAAGAAGGUGAAAAAUUAAAUAAAAAAGAAAAUAGGGAGAGAGUUGGGUUGGAUGGUAAGAUGAAAGGGAUUAUAAGUAGAAGGUCCUAGAUUCAAAACCUCCUACUUAUUAAAAAAAUAAAAACAAAGUAAAAAGGAAAUAGAAAAAUAUGCAAAUAUUAAAUUUGUUUAAAAAUUUUUCACAAAAAAAAUUUAAUGUAUACAAAAUAUUAUAUUUGAUGAUAUUAUAAUCAUGUAUAAAGCACGUGACACCAGUUACAAUAAAAAAUGGCAAUAUGGUUGUGCCAACCUUUUAACUUAUGAAACCUCACUAAUUAUAUUGAUGAUAAUGAUACCGUAGACGUCUGCCAUCUCUUUAGCUUGUGAAACACAGUGUAAUCGUGCCCUCAAAAUUAUGAAACCUUUCCAUCCAUGGCAGAAAUGCUCCUCAAAAUAAUUCAACUUUAUCGGAAGAAAUUAUGGCACAGUACUUCCCUCCCUAUAAGUUGCAUCGCACUAUAUAUUAUGCCCUCUCUAUGACUUAAGAAAUAUUCCUGUCACUGCUCAUCGUGUAGAUAUGAACAACAUCAAGAAAAUAGAAAUGUGGACGUGAAGGAUUAGCAUUUUUUUUUCAUUUCAAUAAUGACUACUACCUGAUAUUGGUUUUUAAAUGCAUUUGAGCAAAGCUGAACCCAUAUGCAUCAAUGUUUGAAUUAUUUUGUAGGCCCAUCCAUAUGACCUACCUGAGACUAUCUUAUUGACAAAAUUUAGGCACAGAAAAAGGUAGUUGGUAGGGUCAAUUUCAAUUUAAAAAGAUGAGAUUGAGUUUGAAAUACAAACGAAACUUGUAAUAAAUUUGGACGUUAUCACUAUUUUUUACCUACAUUGACUUCUUUUUUUCCUUAGUGCUGCAGUUUUAGUGCUUACAUAAUUACAUGGGCAAACUCCAAUUUACCCCAUGUGGUUUAGUGUUUUUUAUAUAACCCCUUAUAGUUUUAAAAACUAUACAUAACCCUCUUAUGGUUUGGAUUAAAGUGUCAAAGUGACGGAAAUGAUCAUUCAUAAUAGAGUCAUCUAAAAUGUCAAAAAUACCCUUAUGUAAAGUUAAAAAUUAUUUAUUAACCAAGGGGGAUUAUGUAUAUAUUUUGAAAAUCAUAAGGGGGUUAUAUGGUAAAACAUUAAACUAUAAGGGGAUUAUAUGGUAAAACAUAAAAAUUAUACGAGGUUAGUGUGUCAUGUAUUUAUAAGGGUAAUUUUGAUAUUUUCAAAAGUUCCGUUACUUUGACACUUUAAUCUAAAUCAUGAAGGGAUUAUGUAUAGCUUUUGAAACCAUAGGGGGUUAUGUAAAAAACACUAAAUCACAUAGGGGUAAAAUGUAAUUUGCCCUAAUUACAUUGCACUGUGCAAUUAAAACUAACAAUUGUAGGAGCCGCAUUUCCCUCAAGUCUCAAUCAUCCUUGUAACAAUCAUCCCAUAAAAGUCUCAAUCAUCCUUGUAACAAUCAUCCCAUAAAAUUUACCGAUGUGGAUGGGAGAUAUUAACGAAUAGCUGUGCCAAUUGUAUUUGUCUAAUGAAAAUGUGAUUUGCAUAUUUUAAGUGCAUCGUGAUUGUCCAAGAAUACAUCUCCAGUUCUCACCUACAACCUUACAUGUGCAGCACGCCUCCCUAUUUCUCAACAUUGAAUUGUUCAUCCUUUGGAAUCCAGAGAAGAGUUCAUAAAAGAUCCCACUCAGGCUUCUACUCUCUGCUCCCCAAUCUCAAUCUGUCCUUACCAAAUAGUAUUUAUGGAGAAAAUUGAAGUAGUGAUGGUUAUGGCGCCAAUGCUGAGGCACUUAAUACCAGCCAUCGAGCUAGCUAAGAUACUGCUUCAAAGAGCAAAUUGUCUAGCAAUCUCAUUCCUCAUGAUGAAUUCAACAUUGGACCCCGAAGCCACGGCCAAAAUCGAGUCUCUGACUGCCUCUUGCAAAUUUGAUCGCCUUCAUUUCCGUCACCUUCCGAUGCCAGACAUCUCUCAGUGGAAUAUUCCACAUCAGGGAAUCUACCUUCAUCAACUCACAGAGUUUCACAAGUCUAAUGUACGAGAAACAGUCUCCAAAAUCAAAGGUUUUGCAGGGAUUAUUGUUGACAUGAUAAACACGCCAAUGAUGGAUAUAGCUGACGAGCUCAGUGUUCCUAGCUACAUCCUUUUCACUUGUAGUGCGGCCUGUCUUGGCGUUAUGCUCCAUUUCCAAGCGCUCGAAGAUGAGCAAACUAUAAAAACAUGUCAUUUACUCCAGAGAGAAACUAAAUUGGUCAUUCCUAGUUUUACCAACGAAGUUCCAAUUAGUGUACUCCCAAUAUUUACAACUAUGGAGGGAACUUGGUCAGGCAGGUUCUUGAAUCAUACUCGCAAUUAUAGAAGAGCAAAGGGCAUCAUUAUCAACACUUUUGCUGAUUUUGAAUCUCAUGCUAUUGAUUCUUUGUCAAUGAAACAUUCUUACGGUACAACAGGAGUGCCAACCACCUAUCCUGUGGGAUUAAUCCUGAAUAGAUCUCAAAUCCAGGCAGAAUCUACUAAAGGCCAUUUAGAAUUGAUGAAUUGGCUUGAUGAUCAGCCAGCAAAGUCGGUGCUUUUCAUCUGUUUUGGUAGUACAGGAAGUUUCAAAUUAGAUCAAGUGAAAGAAAUAGCACUGGGCCUCGGAAAAAGUGGCUAUCGGUUUAUUUGGGUUCUUAGGCGGCCCCCGGCUAUGAAAGGAGGAUUUGCAGGGGAAUUUGAGAAUCAUGGACCUCUUCUGCCAGAAGGAUUCUUGAAUCGAACAGCUUCGAUUGGAAAGGUUGUCAGCUGGGUUCCACAAUUGGCUAUUUUGUCACACCCGGCUGUGGGCGGAUUUGUCUCGCACUGUGGUUGGAAUUCAACGUUGGAGAGUAUUUGGUGUGGUGUGCCAAUUGCUACAUGGCCGUUGCUUGGAGAUCAACAAUUGAAUGCCUUCCAGUUGGUGAAAGAGUUACGAAUAGCUGUGGAAAUUAGUUUGGAUUACAACGAAGCCAAUGAGCAUCAACCAUUGGUGAAAGCAGGACAAAUAGAGAAAGGAAUAAGGGAAGUGAUGGAUGGUGAGAACGAAGUCCGGAAAAGGGUGAAAGAGCUUAGUGAGAAAAGUAGGCAGGCUAUGAAGGAAGGUGGAUCAUCUCAUGUGACCUUUGAGAAUCUCAUACAUACUAUCUGCAGCAGCCGUCCUAAGUCUGGCGUUUGAAUUGAUAAACUUGGGGAUUUGAAGGGUGAAAACUUGUGUGCUGAACUGAAAUGUUAAUUUGCUCUAUUUUGUAGAGUUACACGUGUUUGAUUAAAACUGUCAACAAACGGUAGGGGCCUGCUGAAAUCCCCACCACAGCAGGUGGAUUUCUUUGUUCCCCUAUUUCUGUUCUUGCUGUCUGAGUUUCAAUGGAAAGUUCUGGCUCUUUCCUGUUCAUAUAAUGGGAACCUGAACUUUUUCUUCUUUUUUAGCGUUCUCUUGUUUCAAAAUGUAGCGUGUUGGUUUUAAUUUCAGCGCUUGGUUUUUGUAGCUGAAGAUAAACAGUAGGUAGCAUAUGAGAAAGUAAGAUUUGGACCCUAUUCAUGUUAAUCUGGUCAAAAGCAGGUUGCACAUAUUUUAACAGGCUGUGGCACCAAUAUGGUAUUUCAUAAGUGCCCUACCGUUGGUGCCCUCCCGGUCUAAUGGUGACUUCAUGACUAGGAUUGAGUUUCAAACAUGUUAUUUAGAUCGGAUUCGAGCAAUCUGCAAAAUUAGCGAGUCGUGUUCGGGUCAAAACAGUUGACUUGUUUAAUUUUUCGACUUGCAUUCGAGUUUGACUGGUUGUCCAGAACAUAUGGGUACAAACCUGACCCGUUAUUCUACGUUCGAACCUAAUUCUCAUCCCUGACAGGGUGUCAAAUCUGUGCAAUAAUAAAUACCUGUUUAAAUAAAAUAUAAUUUCUGUGGAUAGUGAUAAGUAGGGUCAAAUCCACAGUGACUAGGAUAAUUUAUUUCUUUUAGAGUCCGAAAUAUGGGGGGUUUUUGAAAAUGAGAGUAACUAAAUUACUUGGAAUAAAUUAAAAUAAAAUAAAACAACUACAACUCAAAUAACUAAUUAUCACAAUAAAAAUAAUAAUGGACGAACUCUAGCCAAGAGACAACUUCGGAGAUGGUUCACUUAAUUCGAUCACAGAUGCAAGGAUUAUUCCAGUUACUAUCUGAUAAAUUAGUUAUAGUUGUCAUACACGCAAUAAACAACCAACUUUUCCUCAAUUUGUCGAUAGCCAAGGUACGACCGUUGGCUAUUUUUCUAAUCAGGAAAUAACCUUAGGUACGACCAUAGAAGUUCAAUUCCCUAAUUGCAUGAAUAAUUAGAAGAGCCUAAUUCUAACCAAUCAACACGCUACGAGGGUCUCUUUAAGUUAGUCUGUCUAUCUCCCUAACACAAAUCCAAUCAUAUCAGUUGCCACCAGUUUAGAAUAAUUAAAUAAUUACGGAUUUAACUACCCUAAUUGGCUUCAGGUUAUUGAAUUAAUCUAGAAUCCGGACUCUGGAUAAUCGAAUAAUAAAACAAUCAUAUGAACAUAAAGCAGAAGAUAGACGAAUACCAGUGAAUAAUGGAAAUAAAUAAAAACUAAUUCGAUCUCACAAAUUUGGUAGAACCAAGUCCUCCGUUGUUCCUCGACUAGACGGGAUUUAAUUCAUCUUCAUGGAGGAAAUCCCAUGCAAAAGUGCAGAAGUAAUUAUUGAAAACAAGCUAUGUCUCCGUCCCCCCUAGAAGAAAACGGCAAAGCUAUAUAUAAAGUAAUGAAUCCGAAGGAACUAGCUAGAAGCAAAAACAAAAUGAAGCUCUCCUAUUCUAAAACAAAAAUUACUUCUUGUCUCGUGGUCCCCACGAAUAAGGAACAAGCCACAAAGACUAAUGCCUUUCUUUUCCUCUGUACGUUUGUUUCCUUAAAGCCAAAAGAAAUGACUCAAUGCUAUCUAUCUAGUGGUCCCCACCAAAUUGAGAGUCCAAAGGCCAAAGAAUUGGAGCUCUGCGAAGUCCUUGAUAUUAGUUUCCUCUUCAUAGGAAAACUUUUAAUCAGCAAAAGAGAUGCAAUCCGUCUGUGGCACCUUGUGGGCCCGGGUUUGUGAAGCUCUUUGGAGUCUCCCACGUGUGGAGCAAUUUCCUCAACAGGUCCUCUUUUUUAGUAUAUUUCAGUUCAACUUCCCUGUAGAUAGGUCCAAAUAUCAAAUAUAAGUAUAUAUUAACAAUUUAAACAAUAUUUGGCAAGGACAAAGGGGGAAAUUAACAAUAAAAUUACUAACAAUUAGCACCCUAUCAAUUCUUCUCACACUUGAACCAUGCUUGCCCUCAAGCAUGAGAAUAGCAAUUGAACACCAAAAUUUGACAAUGGCUAUUGCUCCAACUACCGUAUUGCCAAGAUACCCAGAAAGACAUAUAUCAAGCAUCACAAGUUAAGAUUCAAGAAAAACCACCCCGGUUAGCUUCCCAACCACCAACUCCUCCAAUUUAAAGCAAACUAAUUUCAGAAAAAGGAAUGGUUGCUCACAUUUAUCAGCAAAUGGUCUAACUGUUAACCAAAAUCUCGACAUUAAGUUCACAAACCGGCAAGCUGAUUUAUUCGCAUACUAACACAAUCUUUACUUUACUUUUUUUUUUCUUUUUGUUCGAGUAACAAAAGACUUAGUCUAUAGCCCUUAGAGUCUUUUGACGCGAACUCCAACAUUUGGCAAAUGGAGGAGCCUGGUUACUCAGCUCUAAUUGCUACGAGACCACGCACUCAUAGCAACUACUAUCUUUUGACGCGAAAAUCAACACUUUAGGUGAAGAUCCCCGAUUACUCAGUAGUAACUACUAGCGGAGUACAGUCAACUCUUAUUUACAACCAUAUAGCACGAUAUCUAAAAGCAACAUAAGAAUAACAGCAGCCAGCCUCAAAUUUCCAGACAUGGAGAACUAAAAUUAAUAAUUGGACCAAUUUACAUGAAAAAUGCCAACAAUCAUUCCCUAUGCCUAGAAAAAUUAACCAAAAAUUGGAAAAGUUAAGCAAUUUCUUGAUAUUCAUCAAAGAGAUGUUCCUGAAUUCAACCACAUCAACUUGAUACAUUUUUAUUAAUAAACUUGGCAAUAGCAUAAUUAGAUACAACAAUCCAGCAUCAAACUUGGUAUUCAUAUGAAGAUUGACCAUUAGAGAAAAAAAAAAGGAGAUAAAUAUCAAACUAAAACAAAGGAAAAACCUCUAGAACCUAAAAACCAAAAAUACUAGCACCCCAACUGAUAUCCCCCCCACACCUAAAUAACACAUUGCCUUCAAUGUGAUAACGUAAAAGCAGAAGGAAGGAGAGGAGCGACGGUACUUCCUUGAAGUCAUCAAAAUAGGGGCAGUUCAGGUGAAAAUUGUGGAUCAACUCGCAUCUGGAGCUGGUGCCAUUUGUGGCUUCACCAUGGACUCUAGAUAUCACUCUAAGCGACAAGAGACUACAAUUGCCAACAAAUAAUGGAAACCGAAAAUUCAAAGCAAUAACAAUUUUAAAGCCAAUCCAACGAAUAAAAUGCACAAUUCAACCACCCAGAGGACAUACAUAUACCCCAACACUUAUAGCAAUGGCAAUCAAUAAGCACUUGCGGUCCCAAAGUAGUCAAUUUCAAAAUCAAUGCAAUCCAAAGUGCAACAAGUGCUCCCAAGAACUUAGUAAAGGAAACCAAAAGGAUAAAAUGCUCCUAAACAAGGCAAUCAGAGGCAACUAACUUCAAUAAGCAAAUUUAAGCGUUACAGGCACCUCCCAAUUUAACAAGCAAAUUACCCACAAUUAGACACAAAUCACAGCAAAUUAGACAUAAUGGGACCCAAAAUCGUAACAACCACCUCCAAUUGGACAGUCAAUUACCCCAUUCAACCUGCCAAAAUCAGCAAUUAACCAAAGAAAAUGCUCAAAUCAUCUCCUGCACUAUCUAAAACAACUCAAUCAUAGGUUGGACAGAAACGACUCAAUCACAAAUGCCCAGUAGUCACAACUCGAUCAAUUGGAAAACUAAUAACACAGGAUAAACAAAUGUUAAACAAUUACCAUCGCCAGUACCACUGGUAAAUGCACAGGAAAAAAUUAAAUCAAAUGGCCAAACAAAGCCACUAAGAAAUACAAACAGCACCAGACAAUACUCCAAGAGCCUAAAUAACCGACAGUUAUAUCAGACUAGGCAAAUCAGCUGCAGGACAUAGCCCAACCCACAGGCUCCAGUAACACAGAUGCAAUCCAAACAAAUUUACUCAAUGAAAUCGCAAUCACCAAAAUCCCAUCAACAUCAGGAAAUCGAAAUCGGAGACCACAAAAUUAAUAAAGAAAAACCUGGCACCAGGGAGGUUGGGUUAUCGACGGCGGCACUGAUCUGUGCGUCGCGAGUGGUGGAGGUGGAGUGGUGCGCGAGGAAUUGGGCUAGACGAGAGGCGGCGGCAGCGUUGCUUUUGCGGCGCGCGUUGGUGGUUGUCGCGAGGCUUGGAGGCAGCGGCGCGCUUGGAGUUGCGCGCGGAGAUGUGGCGAGCCGGCGAAGAGGCGGUGGACGAAGCUUCGUGCGCGCGAGCAGCACGCGACGGCGGCAGCGAGGGAUUUCGGCCAAAGAGAGAAAAAGAAAAGAAGAAGAAGGAAGCAGGGAAGAAGAGGUAGAAAAGAGAAAGAAAGAAAGAAGAAAAAAAGAAAAAGAAAAGAAAAAAGAAAAAAAUAAAAGAAAAUAAAUUGGUUUUGGGAGUUUUUUUUUUCAAUGUUUUUCCAAUUUUUUUCCGGAUUUAAAUUUUCAAAAUUAGAAUUUUUGAAGUUUUUCUUUUCUUUUCUUUUCUUUUUUGAAUUUUUGAAUUUUCUCAAUGUGAAUUUUUUUUUAAAUUUUUUUUUUUUGGGUUUUGGGUCAUUAAACACAGCGUGGGCACACCAAGAUUAUAAAACGUCCACUGAUUUCAGGAGUCACAAACACCGCGUGGGCACGCCAAGAUUGCUGUCCUGACCACAGUGGAGAAAAACAUUAAGACCAACCACAACCUAAAUAAGAAACGACAUAAUUAAAGAAUUUAACAACGAAAAACAAUAAAAUCAAUAUUUGGGUUGCCUCCCAAAAAGUGCCUUUUUUUAAUAUCUUUGGCUAAACAUUGUUAUCUUUGCUCAGGGAGGAUAAAAUCUUGUGGCUCGUUUCAAUGUUUCAUCCUUUAUAUAGUCCUGAUAACCCUCGUAAAUAGAAUAAUUUUUGAGCACACGAGCUACGGUUUUCCUUGGACUAGUAGAUGGCGCCAAAUAAUCAAGUAGUGAUCUCAAUUCUUCAUCCACUCCUCCAUCAAGAACACUCAACGGUUCAAGAUAUUUGACCAUAGCUACUCGUAACUUAUUUCUGCCAUGAGACUCAAAAACUUCCGGUAUAACAAAAUCAAUCUCAUUAACAGAAAUCAUAGAGUAAGAAUUAGGAAAAUGCGGGUAAGGGAAUGGAGGUGGUGUCACCACAUUUGAUGAUUCUUCACUGGAUUCUUUCACUUGAAUGGGUUGCGGUUGGGGUUCCAUUUCUUCCUUUUCGACUUCUUUUUCAACUGCAUCUGUAGAUCUCUCAUUUUGAUACUUUUGCAUCUCCUCAUCACUAGUCAAGCAAAUUGCACUCUCAUUUUCUUCAAAAUCAACAAUGGUUUUCGAGGGCAAUUCUUCAAUUUGAGAAGCCAAUCGAUUUAUUUUGGAUGUCAAUAGACAUAUUUGAUCUGCCAGAUUACUCAUUGCAUCCUUCAUCAUCCCAUUUCUCAUUUGUGUCUCCUGUUGGAAUUGAUAUGUAUUAGUAGCUAUUGAUUCAACUAUUUCUUCAAGAGACAUACCUGACAUAGAUGAUGAUUCUUGAGACUCAUACUGCUGAAAAUUCAUUGGCCCUGUUGUAUAAUUAUAACUGGAGUUAUCCCACCAUCCUUGAUCAUACCCGUUUGGAUUAGGGUUAUACCACGUUUGAGACCAGGGUGAGAAAUCUCCAUAAUUAUUGAGUGGGACACUCAGAUUAUCUUAAUAUUCGGGGCACAUACCGGUUGAAUGAUCCCUGGCAUAACAAAUUUUACAGGUUGCAACAGUCAUUCUUUCUCUAAUAGAGUUUAGUGCCUCUGAAUAUGCAAACAUAGCAAAAAAACAAGCCUCAUUGCCUUCCCUGGAAACAAAAUUCAGUCUAUCACCAAAAUACGGAGUGUUAGAAGUCAUAAACUAUAUAAAAAAAAAAUAAGAGAAAAAAAAUAAAAACAAGAUGAAUUCAAAAAGAAACAAAUUAAUCUGGCACCAGUCCCCGGCAACGGCGCAAAAAAUUGACAGGGUGUCGAACCUGUGCAAUAAUAAAUACCUGUUUAAAUAAAAUAUAAUUUCUGUAGAUAGUGAUAAACAGGGUCGAAUCCACAAGGAUUUGGGAUAAUUUAUUUCUUUUAGACUCCGAAGUAUGGGGGGUUUUUGAAAAUGAGAGUAACUAAAUUACUUGGAAUAAAUUAAAAUAAAAUAAAACAACUACAACUCAAAUAACUAAUUAUCACAAUAAAAAUAAUAAUGGACGAACUCUAGCCAAGAGACAGUUUCGGAGAUGGUUCACUUAAUUCGAUCACAGAUGCAAGGAUUAUUCCAGUUACUAUCUGAUAAAUUAGUUAUAGUUGUCAUACACGCGAUAAACAACCAACUCUUCCUCAAUUUGUCGAUAGCCAAGGUACGACCGUUGACUAUUUCUCUAAUCAGGAAAUAACCCUAGGUACGACCAUAGAAGUUCAAUUCCCUAAUUGCAUGAAUAAUUAGAAGAGCCUAAUUCUAACCAAUCAACACGCUACGAGGGUCUCUUUAAGUUAGCCUGUCUAUCUUCCUGACACAAACCCAAUCAUGUCAGUUGCCACCAGUUUAGAAUAAUUAAACAAUCACAUAUUUAACUACCCUAAUUGGCUUCAGAUUAUUGAAUUAAUCUAGAAUUCGGGUCCUGGAUAAUCGAAUAAUAAAACAACCAUAUAAACAUAAAGCAGAAGAUAGACGAAUACCAGUGAAUAAUGGAAAUAAAUAAAAACUAAUUCGAUCUCACAAAUUUAGUAGAACCAAAUCCUCCGUUGUUUCUCAACUAGACGAAGGGAUUUAAUUCAUCUUCAUGGAGGAAAUCCCAUGCAAAAGUGCAGAAGUAAUUAUUGAAAACAAGCUAUGUCUUCGUCCCCCCUAGAAGAAAACGGCAAAAUUAUAUAUAAAGUAAUGAAUACGAAGGAACUAGCUAGAAGCAAAAACAAAACGAAGCUCUCCUAUUCUAAAACAAAAACUACUUCUUGUCUCGUGGUCCCCACGAAUAAGGAACAAGCCACAAAGACUAAUGCCUUUCUUCUCCUCUGUACGUUUGUUUCCUUAAAGCCAAAAGAAAUGACUCAAUGCUAUCUAUCUAGUGGUCCCCAUUGAAUUGAGAGUCCAAAGGCCAAAGAAUUGGAGCUCUGCGAAGUCCUUGAUAUUAGUUUCCUCUUCAUAGGAAAACUUCUAAUCAGCAAAAAAGAUGCAAUCCGUCUGUGGCACCUUGUGGGCCCAGGUUUGUGAAGCUCUUUGAAGUCUUCACGUGUGGAGCAAUUUUCCUCAACAGGUCCUCAUUUUUAGUAUAUUUCAGUUCAACUUCCCUGUAGAUAGGUUCAAAUACCAAAUAUAAGUAUAUAUUAACAAUUUAAACAAUAUUUGGCAAGGACAAAGGGGGAAAUUAACAAUAAAAUUACUAACAAUUAGCACCCUAUCAAUCCCCUAUAAAUUACUCAUUAUUUAAUCAUUUUUUAUUUUAUCUUGAAACCAUAGUUCACUAAUUCCCAUCCCCUAUAAAUUACUCACUAUUCUAAUCAUGUUUUAUUUUAUCUUGAAACCAUGGGCCUGUUUGGAACCUGAAUUUUUUGGGAGUUUGUCUAAAACUUUACUGUAGUGCACUGUAGAAGUUUUUAAAAAAUUUUUGUAGAAGUUUUUGUAAGGUAAAAAAUUUUUUUAUAGAAGUUUUUGUAAUGUGAAAAAAUUUGUAGAAGUUUUGGUAGGGUGAAUUUUUUGUUCCUUUUCUUUUUUUCUUUUUCUCUUUCUCUUUCUUUUUCUUUUUCUUUCUUUCAUUUUUCUUCUUCUUCUUCUUCUUCUUCUUCCCCUUACCCGUUACCUCUGCCUCCCACCUCCGCUCCUCUGCUAGCACCACCUCUUUUUUUUUUUUUUUUUCUCCUCUCCCCCCUCCCUCUCCCUCCCCCCGCCACCCCUUUCCUCCCCUCUCCCCACCACCCCCUCCUACUCCCUUCCCCGUUCCCCCCUCUGCCCGCCACACCCCUUGGGCCGCCACCCCUCCCUACUCCCUCCCCCGCCACCUCCCUAUGCCCACCAUCCCUUUCCUCCCUCUCUCCCCAACUCCCUCUGCCCUUCCCCCUCUGCCCGCCACUCCUCUCCCCACCCCUCAGCCCUUCCCCCUCAGCCCUGCAACUCUUUCUCCCCGCCCACCCCCUCAGCCCCUUCCCCCUCUGCCCCCGCCACUCCUCUCCCCCCGGACGAUUGUGCCUGCAGUUAGGAUGAGGAUAAAGCACGAGGCGCAGAUGGAGCUAUCAAAUGGGGUGAAAUUGGAAGGGGCGACGUUGGUUGUUGUGAGGCCCAUAAAUGCUAGUGGAUGUGGUGGUCGCGAAGGAGGGAGUGAGACGGAGGAGCAAAGCGGGGAUGUGGGAUUGGCGAUGGGGGCGUUCAGAGGCGAUGGAGUUUAUGGGGAGGCUGUUGAGAGGUUGCUCAAAUGCAGGUGGUGGGUUCGGUGGGGAGGAAGAAGAAAGAAGGAGAAGGGAUUUUUUUUUUUUUUUUUUGUGUUUUGGAUAUUUUAAGUGUGUAGAUAAAAAACUUUGAGAAGUUUUUUGGGGUUCCUGUAGCAAAAGUUGUUAAAAAACUAGUAGGUAAAAAACUUAGGCAAAAAACUAGCUUCCAAACAGGCCCCAUAAUUCACGGGGAAAAUUACGACACAGGUGUCUAUUCCCGCUAUGCAGGCCUUGACCCUUAGGACUGGUUUACAGCUUUUGGGCCUCUCGGCAAAAGCAACACAUCUAAGAAAGAGAGCGAUCAAUGAGUAGUUAAGUUUCUAAUCUAAUUGUUCUUGUGUCAUUUUUUUUCCUCCUUUUCCUUUUGUUCUGGUCUGUUGAGUAUGGUACAACUAGAGUUAGGUUUGAAAUAAUACACAUUCCAGUUCCGCAGCUUUCUCUCUAUGUUCAUCUUUGGCUCUUAUCCUCUUUUUCCCUAACACUAGGCUUAACCCAAAAAAUCGGAAACAAUUUCUAUCAAAAUCUUUCUCUGAAACCCUUAUCCUCCAUUCUCUUUGUCGCUUUUAACAAAAUGCAUUAUUUCACUUCUCUCACUCAGAGGAAAUGGUUUGAGCCAGAAAUAUUUGCCUCUGCUUUGCCUCUCUCACUGUCAUUAGAGGUGUCAAAAUGGGUGACUUGGGCGGGUUUGGGUUGGGUAAAAUGGGUAAUGGGUAUAAGUGAGUCAACUCAUUUAUACCCAUUUAAUUAGAUGGGUAUAAAUGGGUAAGUCAAAAAAUGAAUUGGGUAACCCAAUUACCCAUUUAUAACUCAUUUAUUUUAACUUUUUGCAAACUCAUUUAAAUUCAUUUUUGCAAACUAAGUUAUCAAUUUAUACCACUCUUUGUACCCAUCAUUAGUUUUAAAUAUUUACUUAUAAUGCUCAAUAAACUUAAUUACCAAUUUUUUUUAUUUAUACUCUAUGUCACAAAAUUACUUAUUAUUUAAUAAUUGAAUAAUACGAAUAUAAAAAUUUGAAUUAAGUACUAUAAAAAUUAAUAUCAAAACUUAAUCCAAAAAUUUUGAACCCCUAACAUUUUUUUCAUAUAUAAAUUUAAAAUUUCAUUUUAUAAAGAUAAGAAAAUAGGCUAAAAUUUAUCAUAAAUUGGUAAUGCUAAAAAAUGAGCAAGUUAACAAACUAAGAAAAAAUAAAAUAAUAAGAUAAAACCAACAAAUAAUAAUAAUAAUAAUAAUAAUAAUGUUAACAUUAUGACAAAAUGAAAAAUUUGAAAAAAAAGGUAGGGAAAAAGAAAAGACUUAGGGGGAAGAGAAUUUUAAAUGGGUUAAUUGGGUUUGAUGGGUUACCCAAUAAUACCCAUUUAAUAAAUGGGUAUUAUUGGGUAACCCAUUUAUACCCAUAUACAAAAAUUUAAGAUACCCAUACCCAUCUAUUCAUGGACGGGUAUGGGUAAAUCUAGUUAAGUGGGUUGAUUUGCCACCUCUAACUGUCGUCACCUUCCUAUUCUAGUGCAGUCAGCUCCAUUUCAGCUCACAAAAAUUAACCAUUUCUGCUUUCUGAAGAAGCCCUUUUAACACUUCACUAUUUCCCUCUAAGAGAAUAAAGUAAACAAUGCAUUCACUUCCUAAUGUCCAAACCCCAUACAAAUCAUUCCCAGCAUCACACAACGGCAAAACAGAACUACACAUUUCAAUGACCAAUAGCAGGAAGCAAGAUAUACUAUACUUACAGAGCCAGGGGAGUAACCAGAGAGUACAUCCUGAAGAGAAGAUUCUGGUUUUCGCAUGAGAAGGCGCAUAAAAGGAUCACAUGACAGGAAUAGAUUCUUAACCAACACCCCAUUAUUUGAGCUUUCUGGGACUGUCAAGCUUGUGGUGGCGUGCGUCCUGAUGUUGAAAUCAGACUCCCCUGGGAGUCCAGUUACAUAGACUUUCAACAUCACCUGCUUUUUCUUCACCACCUCUGCUUCUUGUGCCAUUGCAUCACUAUCAAUCACUAUGGUAGAUAGCAGAAAAUUUUGCAAUUUUUUCUGUGAAUGCCUGUUAGAUGGAGUGAGGGAACUUUUGAAACAUAUAUUUGCUGGCUUUUGCAGGAGAGGAUGAAUUAAGCUAUGGAUGUAAGAUAUGACGUCUGUCCAAUAACCAAACAAGCGUGAAAGAAAGCUGAACAAAUGGCUGCAUAUCUCACUUAUGCAAGAAAUUGUUCAAUUGAAUGAUUACAUAAACUGCUAUAGGAUUCCUUUAUCAGAUGAGAUACUAAGACAAAAUAAAAAGGGAUCCCUGGUUGCAGAAUUUGGUUUUUAUAGUGCUAAAAGCCAACGAAAUUUGAGAAACAAACGUUCAAAAUGGCAAAAUCGAUACUCUUUAUAAUGAACUGCUUAAGCAACGAAGGUGUGAUCUGUUAUUUUUAGUUGGCAAUAUGGGUAUAAUGUAAUCAGAUGGUGAAGAUAUAAUUUAGUGAUUGAAAGGAGUAACCAACUCAGUUAGAUGAAUUUACGUUUCAGAAGAAGUUUGAACCUUCGGCCUAGUCUUCAUAACGAAUUUUAAGAGGCCCUUCCCAACCAGCUCAACUAGAUGAAUAUAUGUUUAUUGUUUUUCAUUACUUUUUAGAGACUAUAGGUUUCCGUUAAUCCUUAUCUUCCAGAGAAAAGGAGUUCGGCAUGGCAAAUAGAAAACCUACCGAUAAGUGCCAUAGCAGCCAACAAAAGAAAAGCCAAAAGAGAUUUCCCAUGAUGAUCAAGAUACGAGCUUCAGCCUUUCAAUUAGAAAACAAUUUUUCCCCAUUGCUAGAAACUUAAUUUAUAAUCUAGGAAACUAAAAAAUCAAUCUUGAAAGCACAAUUCAAAGAUGCACAAGUGUUCUGAUAGGUAAGCUUAUUUAUUCAUCUGAAACGAGAAACAGAAAAUAUCUGCGUAGAUUCUGAUGGCAACAAAUCGAAAUCAGGAUUUACUCAUCCUUGACUUCAACUUGGCACUGUAUUAUCUGGCCUGAUAAAGUUCACAAAGAACUCCAGGUGCACAAACGCAUGAGAGCUCAAACUAGUGGAAUUAAAUUGCUAAUAGCCUGUAGACUGAGGUAUAUACUCUAUGUACAAAGGGAUGGUCAAAGGAACCUGAGAUCAUUCACGAGCAACCAAAACAACCUGUUUCCCGACAUUGCGACCACUAAACAGACCAACAAGGGCAGCAGGACCAUUUUCAAGGCCUUCUGCAAUGUCUUCUACGUAGGUGAUCUUUUUUGCUCGGAUUUGAGGGAGUACAAGGUCCAAAAACUUCGGAUAGAGGUGAAGGUAAUCAAACACAGCAAAUCCCUCCACUCUAAGACGCUUGAAAAGAAUAGAAGCCACAUUAUAUAGUCCUUCAGGUUUCUCUAGGUUGUAUUGCGAGAUCAGUCCACACACAGCAAUUCGUCCAUGCAUUCUCAUGUUGAGAAGCACAGCAUCCAACAUCUUUCCCCCAACAUUUUCAAAGUAAAUAUCAAUUCCUUCAGGGAAGUACCUGCAAAAGAAAUUCAAUCAAUCAAGUUAUAUCAAUGCUUACUGCACUCUAACUAGGCCAUUGCGACCUCAAGUUAAAUUGAUGUUUCUAUGCAUAACAAUUAAAAAGUUAAGGCAAUCAUGACAGUCACUGGACACAAUGGAAGAAAGAGGAACAAGUAUUGCUUUUGUAAACAAGUAAUGUCAAUCAAACCUAAAAGUUUUCAUUAUUUAGGUAUUUCUGUUUCUAUUGUAUUACUGUCCAUGGAUAGAAAAUUGAAGGGCAACAUUCAAAGUCAUUCCACAAAGGGGCACUGGAAAAAUAAAAUGUGCUUCUGACAGCCACUUGGUAUAAACUUGGACAAGACUGGAAAGCAGCCUUCAUAGUUAUCCUGUCUUUAUUUCUGGUUCUUGUUAAUUUUAAUCUUUUCUUUUUGUUUGGGGUGUUCCUCUGCUCCUCAUUCCAAAUGAACCAUAGGCCUCUUGUAUAUGCAGUAGAAAAAGUUUGGUUCAGCAUAUUGUUAAUGCUGCUUAGCAAACAGAAAACAGGUAUUGUAGGUGGCAUUCUGCAGCUGUUGCUUUAAGUUCUCCCAAAUCAGUAUGAUCUGUAGUCAGACUAUUAUGAGUAAGGUCAGUAAUUUGACAGGACAAGCUGGUUUGGCCUGCUCUAGCCAACCACUAAGAGUACAGUUAGGACAGCAGCAGUUGAUGAACGCUACAUGUGUUGAUCUGCUACAUGAUCUAGUCAGAAACCUGAUCAGGCUAAUAAUUCCAUCUUGUUUCAUUUCAGACAAGAGUGCCUGACUGAUCUAGUUCUUUUGCUUGCUUCUAAAUUCUGAGGACACCAUGACAAUCUUUAUGUUCUUUGUCAUCUCUUUUACAUCCAAUUUUUACUGUCAUAGCUCACAAAACCUGGAAACUUUAAAUGUUCUUUGUGAUUUCCCUACUAAAAAUUUGGUCAGAUACCUCAGAGAUGUCGAACAUAUAUGGCACAUCUUAUAGUUGGAAUGCAAGAUGUCAUUACAACUGAGGAGAACAAGUUUGAAAGAUUGGCUACACAAGUUGAUUUUGGCAAUUAGUGCCUCUAGCUAUGGCAGGAUAGAAAUAAUAGAUUUUUUAAUACGAAAAAGAAAUCACCCAAUUAGGUACUUGGAAAGAUUUCUAGUUUAAAGGCAAACAAGUUACAUGACAUGGAUACCAGAAUACUGGAUGCUUGUGGAAAGGGGAACCUAUCACCAAAUUGGGGCUUUUUACAAGAAACUUUGGUUGCAUAGAUUCUGUUCUUUAAGCAAGAAGCUACAGGGUCUUUUUGAAUAUGGGACUCCACUUACCCCAUAGAUGAUUCCAAUUACAGAGUCUUUAACCAUGUACUUUAUUUGCUUUAUCCCUUAACAGAACGCAAGAUUUUACAAGAGAAAGACAAGAGAAAACCUUCAUGAAAGUCUAAUAUUAGCUUUGCUAUGAUUUUAGUCACAAUCUUUCGCAAGCAGAAGAAGUUGUGAGGCUAAAUGAUCUCAAACUAUGGUUGUGCCUCAUCAAAAAGUGGGUGCAUUGAAGAUAAUUAUUGCACACGAAUUUCCUAGAGUGCUCUUAAGGUAAAGCAUUGUAAAGCUGCCACUGGUAUAAAAAGUAUGUAAUUAACAGUUCAUUCUCAGAAGCUUUAAACACAUAAUUAGAAUAUGUUAAUGUUAGGCAUACCUUUUCAAAGCCGCAUCCAAGCCCUGCUCCUCUUUAUAAUUGAAAGCAUCAUCAAAUCCCAACUUAUUCUUCAGAAGAUCAACCUUGUCAACAUAAAUUUAAAGCGGAAGUUAGAACACAUAUAUGAAUCAAAAAUAUUAUUAGCUGGACAAAGACAAAUACAAGGUCCAACUGUAGAGCGUGGAAUAAGACCAAUAUCAGGAUGAAAAGUUACUCAAAAUCAACAACCGGGUCUUGAGUAAUGCUUGAGAUGCUAAAUGCAAUUUCGACCGAGAAUGAAGCCAGUGGCCAAACAUGAAAACUCAGAAGCACAUGACCAUCUGCCCUGACAUGGAUGACAAGAAAUUCUGGAAUUUGCAAUCAAAAUUCAAAGGCAGCUUUUAAUUACAUGAAAUUCUAAUUAUAUGAAGACUACGUAGCAGGUUGCAGAGUCAGACACAACAUCAGGUCAAAAAGGUAAAACUUGCACGAAAUAUUUAACUUACUCUGCAGUACAGAACCAUGUGUACACUUGGGUUAUCCAAAGAAACAACUGUCAGAAAUGGUCCUAAGAUAGAGGUGGUCUAAUGUACCUUGUAGUCUGUACAACAAACAAAAAAGCAACAUUCAACUUGAAAGAAAUAAGAAGUUAUAGACGUGAUAUACCUUUUCUCUACUUCCAGCACUUCCUACUACAUGGCAGCCAGUCAAUUUUGCAAAUUGUCCAACAAGCUGGCCAACAGCACCAGAUGCUGCAGAUACAAAUACUUUUUCUCCCUUCUUUGGAUUGCAAACCUCAAAGAGUCCACCAUAAGCGGUCAAACCGGGCAUACCUUCAAAAGACAUAGUGUUAAUAUCAAUGAAAAAAAUGCUAAAGGAUUAUGUGAUGCUAUUUGUUUUGGGUUCCUUUAGUGCUACAGGUGAUUAGCUGUCUUUUAAGAAAAACACUAGUUCUUGUAAUAAUGAAAGUCUUUUAUGAAGAACUAAAGACCCUGGAAAGUUAACAUCCUAUCAUUUGCCUGUAUUGUUGAUUGAACCGUAUCAAAGCUGGUUUGUCAUGCACAAAUGCAGUCCUAAGAUGGGGUUUAAAAUAACCAAGGGAUGCAUAUAUCCUUCCUUUGAAAAGGAAAAAUAAUAGCCAUCCCAAUUAUGGGAUGAAACUAAAGGAGCCACGGGCUAGAGGGUGGUUUCAGGACAUGGGCGGGGAAAGAUUUUAGAGUUAUCCAGGUACUGCUUUUCAUGGAGAUAUAUCUUUAAAUUCCUCAAGGGAUUCCUAAAAACCAAAAUUUCAAUUAACAUGUCUUCAUAUCUCAUGUCCUAUCUUUUGGUCGAGAAAACUUUAUUUGUCUUUCAAAUUUAGAUUGAUACUUGUACAACUAGUAGUCGCACGUCUUCAUUAUCUUAGCAAACUCAAAAAAGUGUGAGCUGAACCACAAAUGUCAAGUAGAGAAGGUUCAGUACCCUCUUUCACUUUUCCUAGGGUAAACAUUAUCAGGGCAUCACUGAAAUUUGAAGUCCAGAGAACUUGGAGAGCAGAAAAUUCAGUGGCUGACCUUGAAAGACGAUGAAAUGCUACCACUAGUGCAAAAACACAUCCAAAAGAAGAACAUCAUGGGAAAACGCACAACCACAUAAUAUGCAUGAAACACAAUAGCACCAGAUGACCACACACUGGAAAAUGAAAUUUCAUGAAACUGAAAAAGAAAUGCACAAGUUCACAAGCAUCGAUUUUGCAUGCACAGAAAAAGUCUCCUGAAAACAUAGUUACCAAGUUUUAGUUCUCAAGGUUAUGCAAAUCAAAUUUGGAUUAUUCUAUAAUUUUCAGCUACAUCUCCGAUAGCAAAAUGACAUCACUCAGCAAGUGUGGAGCUCACCUAGAAGUCCAGUGUAAUGGGAAAGGGGUACAUCUGUAUGCUCAAUCUUGAAAAGAGAAUCAGGUUCUGCUAUGAGACUGUACUCCUCCCAUCCAGUUAUACCCCACACCAAGUCACCCUUCUCGAACUUUGGAUGCCUUGAAUCCACUACUUUAGCUACCCCAAAUCCAUUUAUUGUCUGCAAAUUAUCACCAUUUCAGUAAAACAGAUACAAACAUAAAAUUUCAGAUACACCAGUUGUCAAAAAUGCAACAAAAAAUCAUUCUAUUCAAUGCUCUACGAUAAAUAUCAGCCGACAGAUCUGAUGGUGAGGAAUAACAAAUUGUGGUCAAAUGAGAAGCUUCCACAGAGGUUUACAAAAGAAAAAGAUGUUUUAUUACCUUAAUUUUCAUUUAUUCUAACAUCUUGAACUUCAUUUUUUUUUUUUUUUGGCAAGAUAAGUUUGAGCAUAUUCCUAGGAGUUUAGAUUCUCAAUUGACAUGUAAAUUGUCAUCAAACUUAGAAAAUUGAAUAAUGUUCCUCAAUGACGAAAGAUAAACAAAAUCAUAAUUUAUUGGAAGGUCGAUUUGGCCAAGAAAAAUGCAUGUACUGCAGUUAGUUACUAACAAAUUCAGGAAAAGUGCUAGACCCUAUUGAAAGGUUUCCCUCCAUCAGAAACUUUUUAACCUUACCCUGAUUUCUGAAGAAGCCCUUUUAGCUAUUAACCAAUUACCUCUAACAGAAGACAAUGAACGAUGCAUUCAACUUCCACGCCACAAUUAUUGUCUACAUCGAGAGAUUAUGAUAGCAUAACAAUAACAUAGUAUUACAAACUUCAAACACUGACAGCAGGAAGGAAAACUAUACUUACAGAGCCAAGGGAGAAACGAGAGAAUUGCGCCUCAAGAGAAGAAUCUGAUUUUUGCAGGAGAAAGCUCAGGUAAGGAUCACAAGACAAGUAGAAAUUCUUAACCAAUACCCCUUUACUGGAGCUUUCUGGGACUUUCAAGCUCAUGGUGCUGUCUGUUUUGAUGAUGAAAUCAGAGUCUUUUACGAAUCCAGUUGCAUAGUUUUUCAACACCACCUGCUUGUUCUUCACUACCUCUGCUUCUUCUGCCAUUGCAGCACUUUGGUUCAGCAUAGACCUGGCACUUUGGAGCAGCAAAGUCUGUCUAGCUUUUUCUGGCUCUUAUAGGAGAACACAGAAGUACAGAACAAAGGUCUUGAUGUAAGAUAUGACGUCUUUAAAAAGCCGUGUCAAGAACGGGUGCAUGAGAAAGCAGGAUGACAAACGGUUGCAGGUCUCAAUUUACCUGCAAUUACUUCAAUUCCACGACAACCAAUUGUCAAUUAGUAAAACUUAUCUUCUUAUUCUGUACAUUUUCUGAAAAGAUAUUUGUUUUGGGUGGACGAGCUCGAUUAAGCUAGAUUGAACUCGAUUAGGAUUGAUCAGACACAAUCAUAAGAUUGGUCAAUCAGGCUUUGUUGAACUCAAUUAGAUUUGAUGAGACACGAGCCCAAGUACGAGUUAGAACUUAAAUUCAAUUAAAAAUUCAACGAACUCAAACUCAAUUAUUAUAAGUUGAGCUCAAAUUUCGACUCAACUCAAAUGUAUUUCUAUUUUUUGAACGUGAAUGAUAUUCACUAUUACUUUAAUCAUCAUCUGUUAGUAUCUUUUUUGGAAUGUGAGUGAUAUUCACUCUAAAAAUUGUUGGUCAUUAACAGGGUAUUGUGGUAAUUUCACCAAUGCCCAUUUGUAACAUUUUUAAUUAAUUUCAAAAUAUAUUAUUAAAAAAUUCAUUAGUGGAUAGAAAUAUAUAUUUUUCCGUUCCAAUACUAUCUUUUUCUUGUAAAUCAUUUCCGUUCCAUAACAAAUCUAAUUAAUCCCUUAGCUUUUGAAAACUCGGUUGAUAUAAGUUUUUGAUUAGGAAUUACAAGGCGUUAAUAAGGUUGAAAGACUUAUUAAUAAUUUUCGUGUUAUUAGUCUACACGAGAAAUAUAAUAAAAUUUUAAGUAGAAAAUCCAAAAGUUAUUUGAGAAUUUUACAAUGACGAACGUAACAUUUCACACUUUAAAAGCACCUCAAAUAAGUUUCUAAAUAUAUAGUUAAGAAUUUAAAUUGUCCAAGCCAUUGAUAUAGACAAAAAAAAUAGAAAAUUCAAAAAGCUUGCACAUAAUUCAUAAAUCUUUAAAUUCAUCCACAAGCACCUUUUGAAUUAAAAAAUAAAUUUUCUCAUUGACAAAACCUCAAAUGAGUUUGUAAACAUGAACAUUUUAUCUUUUUUGCUAGUUUUCAAGCCAUCAACCUAAACAAUAAAUUUUAAAAGAAUUAAAAACUAUUUGAAUUUGAAAAACUCCUCAAAUUGACCAAAAACACUUCACAAUAAAGGAAUAAUCUUUUUUUUUUGUCUUGAAAACACUUUGAAUAUAUUCUUAAAACCAAUUUUUUUAUGUCAAAAUACCAACUAUUAUAUUGUGUUUAUCAAAAUUACACCUUUAUACAAUUUGUCUUCAUUUUCAACUUUUAUUACAUACUUCAAGCUUUGAAAAACAAAUGAGUUUUUUUAAAUAAUACAUCUUGAAAUGGGUUGACAGUGUUACGAAAAGUUAAACGUAAGGGAUGCAAGUGAUAUUUUUCAAAAUUAAGAGGGUGCUAAGUGAAAUUGAUAAAAAAAACUCAAGGGAUGUUUCUAAAAUUAUCCCCUUCUUAAAACUUAUAUGUUGUACGUACAUGUACAGGUUUAUUAUUUGUUGUUGUACUUUAAACUUUAGAUCGAAAUAAUUGUUGAUUUUUAUAAUUUAAGCUAUAGUUGAAUAUUUGCCAAAGUUUGUCCUUCUAUCCCAAUUUGUUGUAAAAUUUUUGUAGAAGAAAAUUGUGAAUAAACACUCGACGGUCCCCACCCACUGGGGUUUAGCGUAAGAUAAGAUCAUGAAUUUAGCCUCGAAAUUCGACUCAAGUCAUGGCUUAGAGUACCACGGCAGAAAGAUAUAGGGACUAAUAACACUUUGCCCCCUAAACUUUAGAAAUAAUCACAUUUUAUUAUCCUCAACUGUAAAAAUAUAUGUUUAACUCUCGAUAACGACUAGUCAAAAAAUAAAAAUAUCAAAAAAAAAGUGAUUGCAAUGACAUUAUCUAUAAUUACCUGUUAUUUGCCUCUCAUUGUUAAAGGAUAUACAUCCCUUUUAUAUUGUCAACUAUGCAAAAAUAUCAAACUAAUAACAUUUUUUUAAAAAAAUUUUACAUUUAGUUUGGGGUUAACAAAAAUUUGCCCUUCUGAAAGUAUAGAGUAGUCACAGUUUGCCACCCUAAGUUUUAAAUAUAUACAUUUUGCCCCCCUCAUUUGUCAGGUUAGAGAUAAUGUAGUAAAAAAAAAAAUAAUAAGACUUCUUUGAGCAAUAUAUAAUGAAUUUUAAAUUUAUCCAAAAUACAAUUCAACUAGUUUGCAAAAACCAGCAAAUGGAAUUUCGCAAAGUUAUCUUAGAAAUAGUUCUGGUUUGGCUAAAUAUUUUUUUAUCCCGGCUGUAAUCAAUUGCCCUUCAAAUUUGUUUGUACUGUCCAAUGUUGAUCCACAACAACUAUUAGUUGCAUGUCUCUUACCAUUAUGAAGGAAAUUUCUUUCUUGAAUUGGUUAAUCAUUUUCGUAUUUUUCUCAAUCAUUUUAAGAGUCCCCAAAUUUAGAUUUGAUUUAGAAUUUUUUUCGUAACUUGUAAAAUUAAUUAAUCGAUUACCAAGCAGUAAAGAGGGCUUUUUUUUUUCUAUUUUUUCUUUGGAAAAUGCUAAUGGUACUCUUUUGGUUGUUAAUUGCAGUGCUAUUGACUUUUUAUUUUUUUUUAAAACUCACGUGAAGUAUAAAAAUGUCAUUCCUCUUCACUUUAAUUAUAACUUCAUAAAGUUGGUUGUAAAUUUAGUGAAGAGUUAGGGGCUACUUGGUUAAAGGGUUGGGAAUCACAGAAUGGAAUAAACCUCUUAUUUGUUACUUGACUUAAACCUAUUGGAAUGCAAUCUUUGGAAUCAUUUCUAAAAAAUCAGACUUCCUUCAUUCUCGAGCAAAUUGGGAGGUUUUGAACAAAACUCUCAACUGAUUCCCUCAGACAAUAUUUAUGACGGGCAUAUCUUCUCUUUCUCUCCAUCACACGCAACACCUUCUGUUCUUCUUCUUUAUCAGAUUUCCUCUCUCUUCUUCUUCAUCUCUUAUCCAAAAUUUCUUCUCCGUUGCCUCUGCAAUUUUCUUCUCCGUAUGCAAGCUUUUCUCUUCCUUCUUCUCUGUUUUUUCAGGCUGCUCAUUGGUUAGCUAAAAAUAAAAAAGAAAAGAAGGGAAUCUGACACAAUAACACUAAAACUGGACCAAAAUGCUAUGCUUUGGACCCAUUACCUUCUCACUUUUAUUCCACUCACGCUACUCACUGUGUUUUCUUGAAUUACGCAUUCAAUGGAAGCUCAGAAACAAAGGUCAGUCGAUUCUUGAUAUUUUGGUUAUUUGAUCCGUGAAUACUGGUAUAAUUUGGGUGGGCUUCUGGUUACCUUGUACCUAUUUGUAAAAUUGUUUGCCUGAAUACCUUUCAGUUUCAUAGUUAUGGGCAUUAAAUACAAAACCUGCGAGUUUCCCAUAAAGAGCUGGUAUCUUAUGAGCUAUUUCUUUUCUUUUUUUUUUUAACUUUCACAUAUUUAAUUUAUGUUAAAUACAAAAUACACUAGUAUUCCUUUGGCCGCUAUUUAACCAGUUUUUCCUAUAAAGAGCUAGUGUGUUUUCUAUAAAGAGUUGGUACAAAAUAUACUACAAAACCUGCCAGUUUUUCAUAAAGAGCUGGUAUCUUAUGCGCUAUUUCUUUUUUUUUUUUGACUUUCACAUAUUUAAUUUAUAAAUAUAAAACAUACUAGUUUUCAUAUGGCCACUAUUUAACCAAUUUUUCCUAUAAAGAGUUGGUAUGUUUCCCAUAAAGAGUUGGUACAAAACAUACUACAAAACCUGCUAGUUUUUCAUAAAGAGCUGGUAUGUUAUGUGCUAUUUAACCAAUUUUUCAUAUUUAAACAAAUUUAUGAAAAUUAAAAUAACGUAUUUGAAAGUUGCGUUUUUAUUUGGAAGAACGCAUUCGCUAGAUGUAUUUUUCACCCUUUGGGAAGAGACUUAAAAAUCGCCACCCUUUAGGAAGUUAAUUUAAAAACUCCCUGUUUUUGGGAAUUUACACCUUGUUAACGCAGCCACUACAUUUAUUUUCUGGUAUUAAUUUUUUUAAAAUUUAUGAUUUUCUUAUGUUUUAUUAAAAAGUUAAUAACUAUUGUAGUUACAAUUAUGGAAAUGUUAAUUUAUCGUAUGUGUAAUUCUUUUAUUUUAUAAGAAUUGUUAUAUCAAGGGUAAAUUUCAAAUUUAAUUGCAUUUAAUUCCGAAACACUCAUCAAACCAAGCAUCAGGAAUUGGAAUGAUGCUAAUUCCAAUGUGUGAAUCAAACUAGAUAUUGGAAUGAAAAGUUUAAUUCCAAAACCAGAGUCUAUGAUUUCAUUUCCAUUUCCGACUCCAAUCUGUGAAACAAGCAGCCCCUUAGUGUUAUUUUAUCUAAUCUUACAUGGUCAAGAGAGGGAUUGUCAUUAAAAAUAAGAUUAAUCUUCACUGACAGUGUAUAUACUUUCACCCAUAGUUAUUAAACCCAACCCGGGAAGGAACCCGGCGAAGGAGGUGGGUCAACGGGUUACUGGUUGAACCGGUGGGUGAGUGGUUGAACCGGUGGGUCACUACAUAUAUUUAAAUAUUAUAUUUCAUAAUUAUUUAUAUAAGAUAUAUGAUAUAAAUUGUAAUAAAUAAUGUCAUAACAAAAGCUCAUUUAAUUUAAUUUGUUAUAAAAUAAUUAAUUCAUAUAAGAAUCAACCAAAUAUAAAGUUAUUUAUUAAUAUACCAAACUUCAAGUGUAAAAUUUUAUGUAUAUUUAGUGUAAUUAUCUAGCUUAUUUAUGAAUUUUAAGUGUAAAAAUUUAUUAAAAAUAAUAUUUGUCUUUAAAUGAAUUAUGUAAUAUGUUAUUUUUGGAAUCCAUUUUAUAACUUAUAGAGUUUGGAGGGUAAUAAAUUUUUAUUAAAAGAUUCCAAAUAAAUUUGUUUUAGAGAAAAAAAGAUAGAAUUGAAAAAACAUUUAUAUAUCAUACUAAAGCUAUUAUAUCAACAUAUUUAGAAGUGGUUUGGUGGUAAGCAAGCGGUAGUGUGAGGGCAAAGGUCGGAAGUUCGAGUCCCAACAAUAGCAAUAUAAUUUUUCCACAAAAUCCGGUUAGUGACAAAACCGGCCAAAACCGGCCGGGUUUCCGGUUUAACCCGGUUCGACCGCCGGGUCGUUGACUAAGUCAACGGUCUCUGUGCACAAACGAUCUGAUUCCAAACUCGGCCCGGUCCAAUGACCGGUCCACCGGUUUGACCGGUUCGACCGUCGGGCCGGGCCGGGUUUAAUAACUAUGCUUUCACCAUUAGAUACAUGACACAUAAUUCGAAUUUGAAUUUGAAAUCUAAAUUUUGCAUAUGUGUCGUACAUCCAACUGUGAUAGUGUAUACACUAUCAGUGUGUAUAAAAUUUACUUUUAAAAAUAACAUUAAAGUUCCCCUCUUUCUUUCUUUCUUUCUUUUUUUUUUUUUGCAAAAUUUGUUUGUUUAUCUUUCUUUACUUUUCUUUUUUAGGAAGAAUUGCAAAAUUCUUUUCUACAAUCAUACCACAUAGGAGAAACCAACAUAGGGCAGACAAUCCAUUAUGCACAAAACACAAAAUCAGUCACAAUUAGCCUAAUGUUUGUCUAAAUAAAUUAACCUCUUAUAUUGUGUUUUCUAGUAUCCAGGACCAAAUAGCAAGAAGCAAAUUAAGUAAGCUGAAUACCAAAACAUUUAGAUUAAGCUAUAAAGGAAAUGCUGGUUGCAGGAUUUUUUACUUCAACAGUGGAUUACUGCAUUUCAUCUGUUAUUCUCUGGAAGAAACUUUACAAAAACCUUAAAAAUCAUGCGAUUAAGUAACCUCAAAUCAGUGGAAUCAGAGGGUGAAAAGCCACUGAAGUUGGUGUGCUCUAGGCAGAAAUGACUUGCUCUCUCUCUCAAAAUGGAAGUUGAGAUUAUUCUCGAGCAACCACAAGCACCUGUUUCCCAACAUUGCGACCGCUGAACAGACCAACAAGGGCAGCAGGGCCAUUCUCGAGGCCUUCUGCAAUGUCUUCCACAUAGGUGAUCUUGUUUUCUCGGAUAUAAGGCAGUACAAGGUCAAGAAACUUUGGAUAUAGGUGAUAGUAUUCAUAAACUGCAAAUCCUUCCAUUCUAAUACGUUUGAAAAGAACAGAUGCCAAAUUAUGUAUUCCCUCGGGUUUAUCAAGAUUGUACUGUGAGAUCAUUCCACACACAGCAAUUCGGCUAUGCACUUUCAUGUUCAGGAGCGUCGCGUCCAAUGUCUUUCCUCCAACGUUUUCGAAGUAAAUAUCAAUUCCUUCGGGGAAGUACCUGCAAGAAAUCAAUGUAUUCUUGAUUCAGUACUGCUAGAGGCGCAGCAGCUGCUGAUUUUGCUGCAUCUAAUUAUGUUCCACCCUGAUCUCAUGUGCUAACAGAUUAGGCUAAGUAUCACACCUUGAUUGAUUUGCAAAGAAAGUGCUGAAGUGUAUAAAUUCUUUGGCUUGCAUGCUUUAGGGGAUUGUUGAGUUAGGACUUAGGACAGAAUGACAAUCUCAGAUUUAUGUCUGCAACUUCAUGUUUAUAAAAACUUCAAAACUUCUGUUUGUCCGUUUAGAAUUUCUUGAUUGCAAUAUGGUAAUUCAUAGCCCUCAAUGUUCAGCAUUUAUAAAUGAUCUUGUGGUAGCUUACGUAUGAGGAUAUGCUAUGGUUAUGGAGUACUAAAGGAAUAAGUAUCAGAAUUUGGGAACGAGAAGCUGUGAGAGUGAAAAGGAUGUCAUCAAAUUAGGCACUGGCUGACAUCUCUUUCCAGUUUAUGGCCAAAGCGGAUUCAUGAUAAAAACUCAUGAUAGUUUUGACAAUUUGUGGCGGAAACAAAAUUGGGGCACUUACACUGAACAUGUUCAUUGAAUUCUCGAGCAAAGAAUACCUACUUGGGAACCUAAUCAGAAUCUGGUCCAGCGAUGGUAGUGACCACAAAAAAAGAAGCUUCUAAUAAGGUAGAGGUUUGGAUAUGGUUACCAUGGAAAAGAAAAAAGCUCAAGCAUUGACCAGCCUAAUCCUCAAAAAGAUUCAAUUACAUUGUCAGAUUCUGCUAAUUUUGGAAAAUUUGUACCUACCUCUUCAGAGCAGCAUCCAAGUCCUGUUCUUCUUUGUAAUUGAAAGCAUCAUCGAACCCAAACUUGUUCUUCAGAAGAUCAAUCUAGUCGAUGUUAAAUGUAAGGUGGAAGUUAGUUCAAGAAUGAAAUAUAAGAGGCCAAACAAAAGUUCACUGUUCAAAUUCAAACGAACAAACAGGUAAAACUUAAUGUACCUUUGCUUUACUUCCUGCACUUCCAACUACGUAGCAGCCUGCCAACUUUGCAAACUGUCCAACAAGCUGACCGACAGCACCAGCUGCAGCAGAUAUAAAUACUUUUUCUCCCUUUUUAGGUUUGCAAACUUCAUAGAAUCCAACAUAAGCAGUCAUGCCAGGCAUGCCUUUCCAUAUACAAAAGUAUCAAUAUUAGAACAAGGAAUGGUAGGGGAGCUGAGCUUGUGUUCCAGUUUUCUAAAGGUUUCAUAGGUACUAAAGAUCAAUAGCAGCCUAUUAAGAAGAACUAAAGAUGCCCAGACUUUAAGGUCCAAUCAUCUAUAAUGAUGUCAAUCAGGUUUCUCAUGCACAAAUGCAAACUGGGGAGAAGAGAGUUGAAGAAAUUGGGAAGGAAAGAUAAGCAGUCUAGGAAAUGCAAAUUGUGAAAGACUUAUCUUCAAAUUCAUCAAGGAGCUCCUACUAUUUUUGUUUAGAAGCCAAGUUUUCAUGUUUUUUCUUUCCUUUCGCAUCUUUUGGCCCAACAAAACAUUUUUAUAUAAAAAAAUGGUUUACAUCAAUGAAUUUGUAAUCUACUGUUUGUAGUCACAGAUCCUCAAUGUCUAAGUAAACUCGACGAAAACCACGAGCUGAACCACACUGGUGAAGUGCUUUUCUGACAAAAGUUUUUCUAAGGUUUCAUUUCAUUAAUGAACAAAAGUUUGGUAAACUCUUUCUCCUUCCCUAAGUUAGCCACAGAAUAUGCUUGAAAUGUCAGGUAUCAGGACAUUACAUCCGAAUGCCAAAUGAAUAACAUGAAACAAAUAUAUAUUGUGAAACUUAAGCAAACUGCAACUUUGUCUGCACUCUGAAGCCUGCACAGGCAUACUCCCCUGAGAAGUGAGAACACAUAAAUGCAGCUCCAGUUCUCACAGUUAUAAAAGGGAUCAAAUUUGUUAGACAAUUAUCAGCUACAGCAUCUCCAUAUAACAGGAAAUAAGAGUGGAAAUUACCUAGUAAUCCAGUGUAAUGGGAAAGAGGAAUGUCUAUGUGCUCAAUCUUGAAAAGAGAAUCAGGUGCUGCUAUGAGACUGUACUCCUCCCAUCCUGUUAUACCCCAUACCAAGUCACCCUUCUUGAAUUUUGGGUGCUUUGAAUCCAGUACCUUAGAUACCGCAUACCCAUUUAUUGGCUGCAUGUUAUCAACACUAUGGUUAAUAGAUGCAAAAUUUAACUUGUGAUUUACAUCACUUACCAUAAGCAUAGAACAAAAACACAUUUGCAUCACUUCUUUUAACAUUACAGCAAGGCAUUGCAUUUGAAUAGGAUCUUCUUGUGAUUAUAACAAAUUCCAGCAAACGUGAGAAUGUUCCAAAUUGUUUCUGUGCACAAACUGGUACUCAAAAACAUUCAUGAACUUGAUUUUGUCUUUGUUUUUCAGGUAUUAGAUACAUGAAUCCAGAAACGAAGAAGUGCACCUCAAUCACCAAAGAGAAUGACACCAAGGUAUCGGAAGGUGAACUUUUUCAAAUUCAUGAAAGAUGCAAGUCAUAUUAGAGGCUUCCCUGUUCCUAAUUAACUUGAGAGAGAUCAUCAGAUGUCACUCUUUUGUUUGCUUUCUAAACAAUCCCUUCUAACAAGUCAAUUUUUCCCUUCAUCAGAAAUGACUAUAACAAGUUUGACACGAAAACUAAUCACUACACAUAAUGUCAUGCCCCGCAUCCACGAGCUAUGAACAACUUGGUGAUAGGGUGUUAAUUGUUGAUUAUUUUAUUAUUAAUUUCUCCUUUAUUCUUAUCAAAUAUUAUUUUAAUUAUUAAUAUUUACUUAUAUUUGGUAUCUGGACUAAAUUUCAGAGAAUGGAACAGAAAACUAAAAAAAUGAGGGACUUUCCACUAUAAAAUUGAGACUUCAAACAGUUGGGCCCCAUAUGAUGUUACAAGGAAGCCUUUUUCGGUUGCUGGCCCACAAGGAGAAGAAGAAACGAAUUCCUUUUCUUUGUGCUGACGGGAGUCUUUGAUUAGCAAUAGGAAACAAAAGGAGAAAAAUUCGGUAGAGAGCUUGAUCUGACGGAUUGCACCCUUUUCUCUAAAUUCGGCGGGGACCACUAGACAAAAGUAGUCUUUGUUCUAGAAUAUGAGAGCUUCGUUUUGUUUUUGUCCUUGCUAGUUCCUUCGUAUUUAGAACUAUAGCUUUGCCGUUUUCUUCUAUAAAAGGGAGGAGGACGGAAACAUAGCUGAGUUUUUUUUAGAGAAUUACUUCUGCACUUUUGCAUGGGAUUUCCUCCAUGAAGAUGAAUUAAAUCCCUUCGUCUAGUCGAGAAACAACGGAGGACUUGGUUCUACUAAAUUUGUGAGAUCGAAUUGAUUUUUAUUUAUUUUCAUUAUUCACUGGUAUUAGCCUAUCUUCUGCUUUUAUGUUCAUAUGGUUGUUUUAUUAUUCGAUUAUCCAAGACCCGGAUUCUAGAUUAAUUCAAUAACCUGAAGUCAAUUAGGGUAGUUAAAUCCGUAAUUGUUUAAUUAUUCUAAACUGGUGGCAACUGGCAUGAUUGGGUUUGUGUCAGAGAGAUAGACAGGCUAACUUAAAGAGACCCUCGUAGCGUGUUGAUUGGUUAGAAUUAGGCUCUUCUAAUUAUUCAUGCAAUUAGGGAAUUGAACUUCUAUGGUCGUACCUAGGGUUAUUUCCUGAUUAGAGAAAUAGUCAACGGUCGUACUUUGGCUAUCGACAAAUUGAGGAAGAGUUGGUUGUUUAUCGCGUGUAUGACAACUAUAACUAAUUAAUCAGAUAGUAACUGGAAUAAUCCUUGCAUCUGUGAUCGAAUUAAGUAAACCAUCUCCGAAGUUGUCUCUUGGCUAGAGUUCAUCCAUUAUUAUUUUUAGUGUGAUAAUUAGUUGUUUGAGUUGUAAUUGUUUUAUUUUAUUUUAAUUUAUUCCAAGCAAUUUAGUUACUCUCAUUUUCAAAAACCACCCAUACUUCGGACUCUAAAAGAAAUAAAUUAUCCCCAGUCCUUGUGGAUUCGACCCUGCUUAUCACUAUCUACAGAAAUUAUAUUUUAUUUAAGCAGGUAUUUAUUAUUGCACAGGUUCGACACUCUGUCACUUGGUUUAAUCAUUUGUGACUGUCUGUUAUGUCCAAAAUUUAUGAAACUAAACAAAUGUGCCCCUCAGUAUUAAUACACACACCUUUAAGUUAAAAAGUCUAAACCCCAAUGGCCAAUUCAUACCAUGAUAACAAGUACUUAAAAUAGAACAGGAAAUAAAAGCGAGAGGAAGCCAGAAUUGUAGGCUUACAGAUCCAGGAGUGUAAUGAGAGGAUCCAUCCUCGAAAGUAGAAUAUGCAGGCUUUGGCAUGAGAAGGCUCAUGUAAGGAUCGCAAGACAAGUAGAGAUUCUUAAGCAACACCCCAUUAUCUGAGCUUUCAGGAACUUCCAAGCUUAUCUUCUUGUCAGUGGCGAUGAUAAAAUCGGACUCUUUUGGGGAACCACUCACAUAGUCUUUCAAUAACACCUGCUUGUUCUUCACCAUCUCUAAUUUCUCUGCCAUUUUCCCACUAUUACUACGGUCAGGAGCACAAAUAUUCUUGAGCUGUGGUCUCUUACUACCUCUGAAAAAUAGUUUUGUGAUUGUAUGGAGCAGAAAUUUGGUGGCUCUUAUAGAAGAGAAGCAGAAAUGGUUAUGAUGCGUUUCAUGACGUCAAUGAAAUCCAGAAAAGGUCAGGAUUUGUUUUCACCUGUCAAACUUCCAAGUCUCAUGUUUUGAAAUUUUUGAUCAAUGGCUGUAUGCAUGAAUAAACCUUUGAUUAUUUGAAGAAAACUGUGUCCAAAUCAUAGCCCUUAAUUUUUCCUUAAUGUAUUGGGACCAUGGUUCGUCAUCGCAGGUUGCGGUCGUGUUACGGUCUCAAUUGUUUCGCAUCUAUCAUGGCAUAUCGAUUGAAUCGGGUGAUACGCAUAUUAUAACACAUAAAAGUUUUCAAAAAAUUUGAAAAAAUUACUAAAAUUAGAAAAUAUCAAAAAAAGACGCAAUUUGAAAAAAUAUAUCCAAAUCGACUCCGAAUUAACUCAGAUAUAUAGACCGAUACCAUGUAUCACAGAUUUAAAUCGGCCAAUAUCAGUCGAGUUAGAGCGAGCUGCCGUAGAUAUUACCAUAUUAGCGAUUUGGAAAUCGGUAUCGUACCAAUCCCCUCUGUUUCGGUUACGACUCAGCCGAUACGUAUUGGUAUCGGCCAAUAUGCUAACCAUGAUUGGGACGGCCUACUAUGAUAAAACUUGUGAUGCUGUUUGUUUAUUUAUUUAAAUAGAUAAAAUGUCAUUGCUGCUGUCAUUGAUUAAAGAGUUGUUGCCAUGGCUGAUCGCUUGAUGCAUUUUGUCACCAAAUGCAAUUUCUAGUUACAAAUACACUAAGGACGUGAGACUUUUUCUCAGUAUAUCUGAAGAUACAAUUUCAACCUUCUAUCUUCUUCAUUAUUGCAAUGUAAACAGUUAAUGAAGUUUUCUUUAAUGCAAACAGUUAAUGAAGUUGUCAAAUAUUGGCACCAAAUGCCAUGGUUCUGAUGUGUUGUGAUACAUUUGGCAUGCUUUAACAUACUUUAGGGACUCAAAUGAGACGUUAAUUAAUCAGUUCGAGCCAACUUAGGAUAAUUGACGUUCUUAAUCUGGACGGAAAAACAUCAUCUCCAUGUUAGCAGAAAAAUCCCAGCUUAUAAUUCCCACUCUUAUCCUUUUUCCCUUUUUCCUCUCUUUUACUAGCUAAUCAAAUUAAUCAAGCAUCUGCAAAGAAAUUCUGGCAUAAUGGCAACUAAACUAGCAAAUGUUGAUGUUCAGUACUGGACAAUUUUGAACCAGGGUGUCACUUCUUAUAAGACACAAUGAAUGGAUCCUCAGUCAUACUCAUAGUCACUGUCUAACACUAAUGGGUUGCUCUGGCUUGAAAUCCAGUCAGAGAGUACGCAUGAAAUAUAUGACCAAGUGAUAGGUUGCAAUUUUAUUAUUUGCCUAAAUACCUUUCAGUUUCAUAGUUAUGGGCAUUAAAUACAAAACCUGCGAGUUUCCCAUAAAGAGCUGGUCUUUUUUUUUUUUUUUUUAACUUUCACAUAUUUAAUUUAUGUUAAAUACAAAAUACACUAGUAUUCCUUUGGCCGCUAUUUAACCAGUUUUUCCUAUAAAGAGCUGGUGUGUUUUCUAUAAAGAGUUGGUACAAAAUAUACUACAAAACCUGCCAGUUUUCCAUAAAGAGCUGGUAUCUUAUGCGUUAUUUCUUUUUUUUUUUUUUUUACUUUCACAUAUUUAAUUUAUAAAUAUAAAACAUACUAGUUUUCAUAUGGCCACUAUUUAACCAAUUUUUCCUAUAAAGAGUUGGUAUGUUUCCCAUAAAGAAUUGGUACAAAACAUACUACAAAACCUGCUAGUUUUUCAUAAAGAGCUGGUAUGUUAUGUGCUAUUUAACCAAUUUUUCAUAUUUAAACAAAUUUAUGAAAAUUAAAAUAACGUAUUUGAAAGUUGCGUUAUUAUUUGGAAGAACGCAUUCGCUAGAUGUAUUUUUCACCCUUUGGGAAGAGACUUAAAAAUCGCCACCCUUUAGGAAGUUAGUUUAAAAACUCCCUAUUUUUGGGAAUUUACUCCUUGUUAACGCAGCCACUACAUUUAUUUUCUGGUAUUAAUUUUUUUAAAAUUUAUGAUUUUCUUAUGUUUUAUCAAAAAGUUAAUAACUAUUGUAGUUACAAUUAUGGAAAUGUUAAUUUAUCGCAUGUGUAAUUCUUUUAUUUUAUAAGAAUUGUUAUAUCAGGGGUAAAUUUGAAAUUUAAUUGCAUUUAAUUCUGAAACACUCAUCAAACCAAGCAUCAGGAAUUGGAAUGAUGCUAAUUCCAAUGUAUGAAUCAAACUAAAUAUUGGUUACAGUAUAUAUACUUUCACCAUUGGACAAUGUUUUGAAAAUCGGAUCGGACUGGCCGGUUCGACCGGUUGAACCGCGAACCGGCUAUGGAACCGGUCCGGUUCAAUGCCAUAGUUGACUUUACUAGAAAAUCGGUCAAGAACCGGUUGAACCGUAAAAAUCGCGAUUGAACCGGUUUUCAACCUUCUUUUUUUUUCUUUUUUUUUUUUUGCAAAAUGCAGCUAUCAAGAUUCGAACUCAAGACCUUUGUAAUAAAAAACCAAUGUAUUAACCGUUGCACCAUCACAUCUUAUUAGUUUUUUUUGAUAACUUAUUUAUAUAAAGCAAACACUCAUAUUUCUUUUUUUCAUUUUUCUUACAAAAUCUCAUCCUCUCAUGGCUCUUUCUUUUUAAUUUUCAACUAUCUCUCUCUCUCUCUCUAUUCUGUUUUUUUUUUGUCACUCCCUUUUUAAUCAAACCUCUUUAUUUUUAAUUUAUUGAUGUUUUCUUCCAUUUUUUAAUUUUGUUUUUGUCCAUUAAAUUGAAAAAAGUUAAAAAAUCAUUAUUUUUUUAACCCAAAUUAUUUAAUGCUACAACCACUCACUUUUAUCUCAUUAUUUGUUUCUUAUCAAGUUUACAUUUCUAUUUUCGAUUUUCUUGACUUCCUUCGAACUCCAAACUUCCUUUUUUAAAUUGCAAUCUCUAAAACGUAAAUUAAAAUUUAAGUUCACAAUAUCUAAAUUCUCAUAGACGUGAAUUUUGUAUAAUUUCAAAAUAUUGUGAUAUUUUUGGGUUGGAUUUAGAUAUAAUUGAAAUUGAGAUGAAAUUUAUUUGUUUUAAGUUAUAAUUUAAAAAAUUUAUUUUUAAAAAAUCCAAGUUAUUAAAAAAUAGUAAACCUUUCAUCAUAUAAAGUAUUAAAUUAAUCCAUUACAUGUCUUAUUUUGUUCAUAUAUAUAUUUAUAUAAAUAAAUUUUUAAAAAAUUCAUUGAACCGAGGUUGAAUUGUUCCGACCGGUUGAACCUCGACCCUUUCACUUCACCGGUUCAAUUAACGGUCCGAUUUUUAAAACAUUGCCAUUGGAUGCAUGACACAUAAUUCGAAUUUGAAUUUGAAAUCUAAAUUUUGCAUAUGUGUCGUACAUCCAACUGUGAUAGUGUAUACACUAUCAGUGUGUAUAAAAUUUACUUUUAAAAAUAACAUUAAAGUUUCCCUCUUUCUUUCUUUCUUUUUUUUUUUUGCAAAAUUUGUUUGUUUAUCUUUCUUUACUUUUCUUUUUUAGGAAGAAUUGCAAAAUUCUUUUCUACAAUCACACCACAUAGGAGAAACCAACAUAGGGCAGACAAUCCAUUAUGCACAAAACACAAAAUCAGUCACAAUUAGCCUAAUGUUUGUCUAAAUAAAUUAACCUCUUAUAUUGUGUUUUCUAGUAUCCAGGGCCAAAUAGCAAGCAGCAAAUUAAGUAAGCUGAAUAUCAAAACAUUUAGAUUAAGCUAUAAAGGAAAUGCUGGUUGCAGGAUUUUUUACUUCAACAGUGGAUUACUGCAUUUCAUCUGUUAUUCUCUGGAAGAAACUUUACAAAAACCUUAAAAAUCAUGCGAUUAAGUAACCUCAAAUCAGUGGAAUCAGAGGGUGAAAAGCCACUGAAGUUGGUGUGCUCUAGGCAGAAAUGACUUGCUCUCUCUCUCAAAAUGGAAGUUGAGAUUAUUCUCGAGCAACCACAAGCACCUGUUUCCCAACAUUGCGACCGCUGAACAGACCAACAAGGGCAGCAGGGCCAUUCUCGAGGCCUUCUGCAAUGUCUUCCACAUAGGUGAUCUUGUUUUCUCGGAUAUAAGGCAGUACAAGGUCAAGAAACUUUGGAUAUAGGUGAUAGUAUUCAUAAACUGCAAAUCCUUCCAUUCUAAUACGUUUGAAAAGAACAGAUGCCAAAUUAUGUAUUCCCUCGGGUUUAUCAAGAUUGUACUGUGAGAUCAUUCCACACACAGCAAUUCGGCUAUGCACUUUCAUGUUCAGGAGCGUCGCGUCCAAUGUCUUUCCUCCAACGUUUUCGAAGUAAAUAUCAAUUCCUUCGGGGAAGUACCUGCAAGAAAUCAAUGUAUUCUUGAUUCAGUACUGCUAGAGGCGCAGCAGCUGCUGAUUUUGCUGCAUCUAAUUAUGUUCCACCCUGAUCUCAUGUGCUAACAGAUUAGGCUAAGUAUCACACCUUGAUUGAUUUGCAAAGAAAGUGCUGAAGUGUAUAAAUUCUUUGGCUUGCAUGCUUUAGGGGAUUGUUGAGUUAGGACUUAGGACAGAAUGACAAUCUCAGAUUUAUGUCUGCAACUUCAUGUUUAUAAAAACUUCAAAACUUCUGUUUGUCCGUUUAGAAUUUCUUGAUUGCAAUAUGGUAAUUCAUAGCCCUCAAUGUUCAGCAUUUAUAAAUGAUCUUGUGGUAGCUUACGUAUGAGGAUAUGCUAUGGUUAUGGAGUACUAAAGGAAUAAGUAUCAGAAUUUGGGAACGAGAAGCUGUGAGAGUGAAAAGGAUGUCAUCAAAUUAGGCACUGGCUGACAUCUCUUUCCAGUUUAUGGCCAAAGCGGAUUCAUGAUAAAAACUCAUGAUAGUUUUGACAAUUUGUGGCGGAAACAAAAUUGGGGCACUUACACUGAACAUGUUCAUUGAAUUCUCGAGCAAAGAAUACCUACUUGGGAACCUAAUCAGAAUCUGGUCCAGCGAUGGUAGUGACCACAAAAAAAGAAGCUUCUAAUAAGGUAGAGGUUUGGAUAUGGUUACCAUGGAAAAGAAAAAAGCUCAAGCAUUGACCAGCCUAAUCCUCAAAAAGAUUCAAUUACAUUGUCAGAUUCUGCUAAUUUUGGAAAAUUUGUACCUACCUCUUCAGAGCAGCAUCCAAGUCCUGUUCUUCUUUGUAAUUGAAAGCAUCAUCGAACCCAAACUUGUUCUUCAGAAGAUCAAUCUAGUCGAUGUUAAAUGUAAGGUGGAAGUUAGUUCAAGAAUGUAUUCUAGUCGAUGUAUUCUUUGUAAUUAAAUGUAUUCUUGAUUCAGUACUGCUGGAGGCUCAGCAGCUGAUUUUGCUGCAUCUGAUUAUCUGGUACUCUGAUCUCAUGUGAUAACUAAGGCCAGGGAUCCGGCCUUGAUUGAUCUAGGAGGAAACUGCCUAACUGUUUCAAAUCUUUGCAUUGAAGACUUUUGAGUUAGGAUAGAACGAUAUUCUUUGAUUGAUUUCUACCAUUUCCUGCUUAUAAAACUUCAACAUUUCUGUUUGUCCUUUGGCAUUUCUUGGUUGCAAUGUCGUAAUUCACAGCCUUCAAUGUUGAGCGUAAAAAUGAUCUUGUGGUAGCUUAGAUAUGAGGAUAUGUUAUGGUUAUGGAGUACUUAAGAUAUGAGUUUCAGAAUUUGGGAACAAAAGCUGAUGUUGGCCAUUGUUGUCCGGGAUAUGGCAACAUAGAUGGAAGGAGAAGCUAUGUGAGUAAAGAGGAUACCAUCAAAUCAGGCACUGGAUGACAUCUCUUUCCAGUUUAUGGCCAAAGCAGAUUCAUUAUAAAAACUCGCGAUGGUUUUGACAAUUUGACGGGGAAAAAAGGUUGGGGCACUUCACUAAAUAUGUUCACCGCAAAGAAUACCCACUUGGGAACCUGAUCAGAAUCAGGUGCAGUGAUGAUAGUAACCACAAACAAAGAACCUUCUGAUAAGGAAAAGGUUUGGAUAUGCUUACCAUGGAAAAGAGAAAAGCUUAAUUAUUAAGCAAUCCAAUCCUCAAAAUUUGGAAAAAUUUAUACAUACCUCUUCAGAGCAGCAUCAAGGUCCUGUUCUUCUUUGUAAUUGAAAGCAUCAUCAAAUCCAAACUUGUUCUUCAAAAGAUCAAUCUAGUCAUGUUAAAUGUAAGGUGGAAGUUAGUUCAAGAAAGAAAUAUGCAUUGCUAAACAAAAGUUCUCUGUUCAAGUUCAAACGAACAAACAGGUAAAACUUAAUGUACCUUUUGUUUACUUCCUGCACUUCCAACCACAUAGCAGCCUGCCAAUUUUGCAAACUGUCCAACAAGCUGACCGACAGCACCAGCUGCAGCAGAUAUAAAUACUUUUUCUCCCUUUUUAGGUUUGCAAACUUCAUAGAAUCCAACAUAAGCAGUCAUGCCAGGCAUGCCUUUCAAUAUACAAAAGUAUCAAUAUUAGAACAAGGAAUGGUAUGGGAGCUGGUGUUCCUGUUUUCUAAAGGUUUUAUAGGUACUAAAGAUCUAUAGCAGCAUAUUAAGAAGAAUUAAAGAUUCCCAAACUUUAAGAUCCAAUCAUCUUAUAAUGAUGUCAAUCAGGUUUCUCAUGCACAAAUGCAAACUGGGGGAGAAGAGAGGUGAAGAAAUUAGGAAGGAAAGAUAAGCAGUCUAGGAAAUGCAAAUUGUGAAAGACACAUCUUCAGAUUCAUCAAGGUGCUCCUACUAUUUCCGUUUAGAAGCCAAGUUUUCAUGUCUUUCUUUCCUUUCGCAUCUUUUGGCCCAACAAAACAUUUUUAUCUAAUAAAUGGUUUUGCAUCAGUGAAUUUGUAAUCUACUGUUUGUAGUCACAGAUCCUCAAUGUCUAAGUAAACUCGACGAAAACUACGAGCUGAACCACACUGGUGAAAUGCUUUUCUGACAAAAGUUUUUCUAAGGUUUCAUUUCAUUAAUGAACAAAAGUUUGGUAAACUCUUUCUCCUUCCCUAAGUUAGCCACAGAAUAUGCUUGAAAUGUCAGGUAUCAGGACAUUACAUCCGAAUUCCAAAUGAAUAACAUGAAACAAAUAUAUAUUGUGAAACUUAAGCAAACUGCAACUUUGUCUGCACUCAGAAGCCUGCACAGGCAUACUCCCCUAAGAAGUGAGAACACAUAAAUGCAGUUCCAGUUCUCACAGUUAUAAAAGGGAUCAAAUUUGUUGGACAAUUAUCAGCUACAGCAUCUCCAUAUAACAGGAAAUAAGAGUGGAAAUUACCUAGUAAUCCAGUGUAAUGGGAAAGAGGAAUGUCUGUGUGCUCAAUCUUGAAAAGAGAAUCAGGUUCUGCUAUGAGACUGUACUCCUCCCAUCCUGUUAUACCCCAUACCAAGUCACCCUUAUUGAAUUUUGGGUGCGUUGAAUCCAGUACCUUAGAUACCGCAUACCCAUUUAUUGGCUGCAUGUUAUCACCACUAUGGUUAAUAGAUGCAAAAUUUAACUUGUGAUUUACAUCACUUACCAUAAGCAUAGAACAAAAACACAUUUGCAUCACUUCUUUUAACAUUACAGCAAGGCAUUGCAUUCGAAUAGGAUCUUCUUGUGAUUAUAACAAAUUCCAGCAAACAUGAGAAUGUUCCAAAUUGUUUCUGUGCACAAACUGGUGUUCAAAAACAUUCAUGAACUUGAUUUUGUCUUUGUUUUUCAGGUAUUAGAUACAUGAAUCCAGAAACGAAGAAGUGCACCUCAACCACCAAAGAGAAUGACACCAAGGUAUCGGAAGGUGAACCUUUUCAAAUUCAUGAAAGAUGUAAGUCAUAUUAGAGGCUCCCCUGUUCCUAAUUAACUUGAGGGAGAUCAUCAGAUGUCACUCUCUUUUUACUUUCUAAACAGUCCCUUCUAACAAGUCAAUUUUCCCUUCACCAGAAAUGACCAUAACAAGUUGACACGAAAACUAAUCACUACACAUAAUGUCAUGCCCCGCAUCCACGAGCUAUUAAUACUUUGGUUUAAUCAUUUGUGACUGUCUGUUAUGUCCAAAAUUUAUCAACCUAAACAAAUGUGCCCCUCAGUAUUAAUACACACACCUUUAAGUUAAAAAGUCUAAACCCCAAUGGCCAAUUCAUGCUAUGAUAACAUGUACUUAAAAUAGAACAGGAAAUAAAAGCGAGAGGAAGCCAGAAUUGUAGGCUUACAGAUCCAGGAGUGUAAUGAGAGAAUCCAUCCUCGAAAGUAGAAUUUGCAGGCUUUGGCAUGAGAAGGCUCAUGUAAGGAUCGCAAGACAAGUAGAGAUUCUUAAGCAACACCCCAUUAUCUGAGCUUUCAGGAACUUCCAAGCUUGUCUUCUUGUCAGUGGCGAUGAUAAAAUCGGACUCUUUUGGGGAACCACUCACAUAGUCUUUCAAUAACACCUGCUUGUUCUUCACCAUCUCUAAUUUUUCGAGAAAUUUCUAAGUUUGUGAUGAAUUUUAAAAAAAUUCUACAAAAGGGGUGACUGUGGCGAGGAAUUCUGUCGGAGGGGUCUUCGCAUUCGUGAAAUGCGAGCUCUCCUGAGCUCGCAUUUCACGAAUGCGAGCUCUGUUGAGAGCUCGCAUUCCUGGAAUGCGAGCUCUCAAUUGCUCGCAUUACAGAGAUGCAAAUUUUUUUGCUUUUUUUUUUUUGGAGGCAGAGAUUUAUAUUUUUGAAUUAAAACAAAAAAGGAUUUUGACAAUCAGUGAUUCCGGAAAUGGGCUGUACCAUCCUGUCAGUAGGUUCCUUGUUUCUUAUGACAAAAUUCAAGCCUGAACUGGAUGUCGGAGACGCCCAACGUAUUAAUAGUUCAUUUCCUGUUGAGAUGUUCCAUGAAGCUUGCCACUCCUCAGGUGGUUCUUGAGGUGUUGCAGUGCCUACAACUUUCUCUGCACUAGAUGACAAUUGCAUGUAAAAUAAGCACGGAGGUUGAGAAGGAAACAGCAUAACUGAAGAAUCAAAACAGGUGGAAGCAGUGAGAAAGAGCUACAUUAAAGCACAUACCAGGGGCUUUGCCGAUCGAACUAGAAACGUAGGACCAAGAACCUUCACGAAUCUCUAUGAUCCUGUCCUCCCAUUUAACAGCUGAAGGUGUUUUGCCUCCUCUCCUCCAAAAUCCUCCUCCCAUCCUGGAUCAUUCUUAAUCAUUUGAAACUCAGCAUACUGAAUAAAGCAGACACAAAUCACUGAGCUCGCAUUUCCGGAAUGCGAGCUCAGUGAGCUCGCAUUUCCGGAAUGCGAGCUCAGUGAGCUCGCAUUCUCAAAAUGCGAAGACCCCCAUUUACAGAAGCCCCUCCAGGAAACGCCCUCGUUGUAGAAUUUUUUUUUUUUUUUCAUCAUAAACUAAGAAUUCACCCUAAUUUUUCUGCCAUUUUCCCACUAUUACUAUGGUCAGGAGCACAAAUAUUCUUGAGCUGUGGUCUCUUACAACCUCUGAAAAAUAGUUUUGUGAUUGUAUGGAGCAGAAAUUUGCUGGCUCAUAUAGGAGAGAACCAGAAAAGGUUAUGAUGUGUUGCAUGACGUCAAUGAAAUCCACAAAUGGGCAGAAGUUGUUUUCACCGGUCAAACUUCCAAGUCUCAACUUUUUAAAAAUUUGAUCAAUGACCAACCGUAUGCAUGAAUAAACCUUUGAGUAUUUUAAGAAGACUGUGUCCAAAUCAUAGCCCUUAAUUUUUCCUUAUAUGUAUUGGGACCAUGGUCGCGUUACGGUCUCGGCUGUUCCACGUCCAUUACGACAUAUCGAUUGAAUAUCGAAUGAUAUGUAUGUUAUAACACAUGAAAGUUUUUAAAAAAUCUGAAAAAAUUACUAAAAUUAGAAAAUACCAAAAAAGACAUAAUUUGAAAAAAUAUAUCCAAAUCGAUUCCGAGUUGACUUAGAUAUAGAGACCGUACCAUGCAUCACAGAUUCAAAUUGGCCAAUAUUAGUUGAGUCAGAGCGAGCCGCCGUAGAUAUUAUCAUAUUCGCGAUUCGGAAAUCGGCAUCGUACCAAUCCCCUCUAUUUCGGUUACGACUCGGCCGAUACGUAUUGGUAUCGGCCAAUAUUGUUAACCAUGAUUGGUACGGCCUACUAUGAUAAAACUCGUGAUGCUGUUUGUUUAUUUAUUUGAAUAGAUAAAAUGUCAUUACUGCUGUCAUUGAUUAAAGAGUUGUUGCCAUGGCUGAUAGCUUGAUGCAUUUUGUCACCAAAUGCAAUUUCUAGUAACAAAUACACUAAGGGCGUGAGACUUUUUCUCAGUAUAUCUGAAGAUACAAUUUCAACCUUCUAUCUUCUUCUUUAUUACAAUGUAAACAGUAAUGAAGUUUUCUUUAAGGGAAAAUUACAUUUUACCCCCCUAUAGUUUAGUAUUUUUAUAUAUAACCGCCCUAUAAUUUCAAAAACUAUACACAACUCCUUUAUGGUUUGGAUUAAAGUGUCAAAGUGACGGAAAUGAUCAAAUCGUUACGAAAUCUUUAAAAAUAUUGAAAUUAUCCUUGUUUAAAAAUUAAAAUGGUUGAAGUGACCAAACUAUAUAAAUCUAAUAUAUAUGACACACUAACCCCGUAUGGAUUUAUAUUUUAUCAUAUAAUCCCCUUAUAAUUUAAUGCUUUACCAUAUAACCCCUUAUGAUUUUCAAAAUAUACAUAUAACUCUUCUGUGGUUAAUAAAUAAUUUUCAACUUUAUAUAAAGGUAUUUUUGACAUUUUAGAUAACUCCGUUAAUAAAUUGCAAAUUCUGUUACUUUGACACUUUAAUCCAAACUAUGAGGGAAUCAUGUAUAACUUUUGAAAUCAUAGGAGAGUUAUGUACAAAAACACUAAAUCAUAGGGAAAUAAAGUGUAAUUUACCCUUUCUUUAAUGCAAAGAGUUGUCAAUUGGAAUCUACCUCCCCCAGUAUUAAUUAGGAGAAAGGCAAUCUCUAGGAAAACAAAUCAUUAUAUCUUUGACCCGAUGAUGAACAGUAUAAUAAACGAAGCACCAAAUUAGCCAUUGCAUGCUCAAACAUGUAUGUGUUGUGAUACAUUUAGCCAAGAUUGACCAAAAAAAAUUAUACGAUCCAAAUUUUAUCUUGUACCUUUGUUUUUAAUAACAUGUGUGGGAUUCACAAAAUUUUAUUCUAAAAUUAUACAUUAUUAAAAGUAAGUUAUACCAUAUACAAACAGAGUUACGCCGUGUGCAAAAUACACAUAACCUUCAGGAAUGGUUGCACCUGCAACCGUUACUGCCUCUGGUCCUUUGACUUGAAAUCCAGUCAUUGUUGCUUGGAUAUGCAGUGACCUAUAUUGCUUUAAAGUUGUUGAAAAAAAAAAAAGAAAAGAAGGCGGCUUAUGAUGGUUACUAGCCAAAAUCUUUUACCCUAAAGGAUUGCAGAAAUCAUUCAUGGGCAACUGCAACUAGUUGUUUCCCAACAUUGCGACCGUUAAAGAGACCUAUAAGGGCUGCAGGGCCAUUUUCAAGCCCUUCAACAAUGUCUUCCACAUAGGUUAUCUUCUGCUUUCGGAUGUCAGGCAGUACAAAGUCCAAAAACCUCGAGUGAAGGUGUAAGUACUCGAAAACAGUAAAUCCUUCCAUCCGGACGCGUUUGUAUAGAUGCCAGGCUAUAUUGCUUACACUUUCAGGUUGUUCAAGAUUGUAUUGUGAGAUCAUUCCACAAACAGCAAUUCGACCGUGCUUUCUCAUGUUUAGAAGUACUGCAUCCAGCAUUCUUCCUCCAACAUUCUCGAAGUAGAUGUCAAUCCCAUCAGGGAAGUACCUGAGUAAACAAAUUGCUAUUAUCUUUAAUGGCACUCAGCAGUCCUAGAAAAGAUGAACCAUGAAAUAUAAAACCAAAAUGUGAGAGAAGAACCCUCACUAGGAAAAGGAUACAAGAUAUGCUUUUAAAAUUCCAAUGAAUAAACAAGAGACUGUAUCCAAAAAGGGCCGGCUGUGUCCACUUGUUCUCAUUCUGUUCCCUUUCUGAUAACAGCCGAUCAGAAAAUGAUGUUUUUGUUAUUGCAAUCAUUAUGCAUUGCCAACCGCAGCAUGCAGCAUUCAAGUUAUUAUCUACCCUUCUCUCUGUUUUUUCACAAGAACUCGGCGAAGACAUCAAUUCCGUAAGCACUUCGAUAUACGAUGAAGCUUCAUUGACACAACUAGGUUAGAAGUUAAUCCCAAGAUGAAUAAGCACCUUUUCAAAGCAGCAUCCAAGUCGUGCUCCUCCUUAUAAUUGAAAGCAUCAUCAAAUCCAAACUUGUUCUUCAGAAGGUCAACCUUGACAAAUUGGAUCAGUGAUGCAAACAAGAAUUAGUUGAUCAGGUUAAACGAGCUAAUAAAGGUCACAAACAUACGUCUGAACCCUGAAGUGCAGCAGAUCAGAUAAGCCUGCCAGUGAUUGUCCGAAAGUGCUCAAACAGAGUUGUGAGGUUCAUGUUCAUUUUACUUCCAUAUAUAAUAUUCCGUUGAAUAUUUGAGGCCAUUUACCUUUUCUUUGCUUCCAGCACUUCCAACAACAUAACAUCCCAUAGAUUUUGCAUAUUGUCCCACAAGCUGACCAACUGCACCAGAUGCUGCCGAUACAUAUACUCUUUCUCCUUUCUUGGGAUUGGAGACUUCAUAGAAUCCAACAUAGGCUGUAAGACCAGGCAUCCCUUCAUAAGAAGAAGAAACUAGGUUUUGAAUGCCAUAUAUUGUGAAAAUUUACUGCAGCUAGGUUCAUCAAGAUUCCCAAAAGUCUAGAGUGAUCUUGAAAUCUUUCUUUUAAACACAAAGUUAAGUGCAAUCAAGAUUUUAAUAUAUAUAUAUAUAUAUAUAUAUAUAUAUAUAUAUAUAUAUUUAUGUUGUCCCAAUGUGCAUCGAGAUUUGAGCUAAUUCAUUCACCAACUCAAAAAUAAAAUAAAAUAAAAUAAAUGAAGUACUAGGAACUCUACAGGGUUUUUUCCCCCUCUGUUACUUCUAAAUCCUUGAAUUUCUCGACAAGGCCUGUAAAAGUACAUUCUUUCUCCUUAACAGGAUCAAAUUGGCAAACAUGCUGACACAACAAAAAGCACCUGCUAUAAAAUCAACACCACUUACAGAGCCAGGCUUGCAAGGAGGGAUGGAAGUUCUCCUAGGAGACUCGGGCUUUCUCAUUAGACCAUGCAUGGUAGGAUCGCAUGACAAGUAGAGAUUCCUGAGCAAAAUCCCAUUUGAGUUUUCUGGGAUUUUCAAGCGUAUUAUGUUGCAAGUGCUGAUAAUCAUGUCUGAUUCUUUUGGGAAACCAUUUAAGUAGUCUCUAAGCAGCACCUGCUUGUUCUUCACCGUCUCUGCCUUUUCUUCUGCCAUCGCAGAAGUUCAGUGGUGCUCAAUACAAUAGUGUCUUUUUUCCACUUUUUUGUCGCUCUGAAAACUAGCAACUAUUGGGAAGCUUUGCUUCUUCAAAUAUGUUUCUGGGAUUGGAAUAGUCAAAUAAGUCUUGAGCUUUCUAUAAUCUAUAUCAAUCAUUGUACAAUUACAAGGGAGCAUCGUUUGAUCGUCACAGCUGACUUCAUUAUCUAAGAUUAACAUCUGGAAAGUAAAUAGUAAAAGCAUCACUUUUCACAUGCCACUCAGUCAAUGUUCAGCAUGGGAAUUUUAGUUCAUCUUUUCUUGAUUUUAGUCAAAAUCAAAUCAUUAAUUGGUUCUUGCAAAUCCAACUUAAAGAGGCUAAGCCCCACAGAUAGUUUAGUGGUAAGCGAACUCUUUGGACUUUUUUGGUCCUAAGUUUGAAUCUAACCUUGGAUUUGAACCCUCGUGACUUAUGUUGGGGUGCGUCAUGUAGGACCGUGGCGUAUCUCGUGAUUUGAUGUGUCAGCUAGGUCCAAAGUGAUUUGAAUCAGGGCAUGUUGAGAGUCACAAAAAAAAGAAAAAAUUAGGAGGCCGAGACUUGACAGCAGCCAAAUUACCUCGUAUCCAUGAAUUUAUCCACAAUCAUGGAAAGAUUCAGAGACUGUAAACCAUACCACUUAGACAUUAGGGAAGGGCGCCUUUCUGGAUAAGCUUCACUACUAUUUACAACGACUGGUAAGGUACCAUUAACUAAAAUUUGUUUUAGGGUAAAUUACAUAUUACCUCCCAUGGUUUUGCAUAAUGCUAGAUAACCUCCUAUGGUUUCAAAAUAGCCAUGUAACCUCCCAUUGUUUUAUGUAAAGUGAAAAAUGGUCAGAGUGCAUAAUCAGUUAUAACGAUUAAACCACAAACUCUCUAAAAGUACAUGUGAUGAAAUAAUAAUAUCCACUUAAAUCUUUUACUCCCUUCGUCCCACUUUGAUAGUUCCAUUUCUUUUUUCACACAGUUUAAGAAAAAGUAGUUAACUUUGUUGGAAAAGUAAAUUUAGAUUGCUAUUUUCCUAAAAUACCCUCACAUUAAAUAUGGUACAACUUUAUGAGAACUUGAAUUGAUGGUAAAAAAAGAAUCAACUCUCAUUAAAUGGAGUAGGUUUAUAGUAACAACAACUUACAUUGAAUAAGGAUAUUUUAGGAAAAUUAAAAUAUAACUACAUUGUUCAAUUGAAAAGUGGACUACAAUUUGGAACAGACGAAAAAGGAAAACGAGGCUAUCAAAGUGGGACGGAGAUAGUAUAAUUUGCAUAAAUAUCCGCAUUAGCCUUUGUGGGUUUUGCAUUUAUCCACGUAAUUUCUCUAUGAUUUUGUACAAAGUGGCUGCGUCGUUGUUUGAUUUAACAUUUAAGUAAGGGCGGUGAAAUCAUAAUAUUUUAACUAAUGACAUUACAUAAACUAUUUUUUGUUAAAUUUUCAGUUUACAUGAAAUCAUAGGGGGGUGAAAUCGAUAUUUUAGAACGUUCGGAAGUUAUAUGACAAUAGAUGAAACUACAAGAGGGUUAUUAGUGAUUUACUCUUUGUUUAAUGAUGCAUGCCAGUUUUACACCGGAAAGUCUGACCAAGAAGCAAUUCAAGAGUUUUCCAGCUUGUGAAUCUCUAAGAAAAAGAGACGACUGCACAGGUCGUAAAAGUACUUAUUCAGUAUAACCAGAUACGAAUACAAAAUUUUACAAGUAGCCCAUCUGAAUUCUAGAAUAGAACCCUCAGAAUCCGGGCAAUAUAGCCUGAGCAGAGUUUAUUACUACUACAAUUAGAACUAAUAAGUGAGGGGAAAACAUGGAACAGGGGCUGGAAUGGUUCCAGAAUGGAACUGCAGGUCAUUCACGAGCAACAACAACUAGCUGUUUCCCAACACUGCGGCCAUUGAAGAAAUCUAUAAGGGCUUUAGGACCAUUUUCAAGACCUUCAAUAAUGUCUUCAACAUAGGUUAUCUUUUUCUCGCGGACGUGAGGCAAUAUAGUGUCCAAAAACUUUGAGUAUUGAUGGUAAAAAUCAAACACAGAAAAUCCUUUUAUGUAUACUCGCUUGUAAAUAAUCCACAUCAUAUUGGAUACUCCUUCAGGUUUGUCAGAGUAGUACUGUGAGAUCAUUCCACAAGCAGCAAUUCGACCAUUCAUUCUCAUGUUGAGGAGCACAGCAUCUAGCAUCUUUCCUCCAACAUUUUCAAAAUAGAUAUCAAUCCCUUCAGGGAAGCACCUAAAAGAGAGAAAAGAUACUAAAUCCUUAAUAAGUUGAAUCAUUGAUGUAGCCUGGUCCAAAUCAAGCUUCAUUCAGAGGUUUAGCCAGAUUAGAUGGACUCAGUUGAGGCCAAACUGAAUAGAUACCUUUUCAGAGCAGCAUCCAAGUCGUGUUCUUGCUUGUAAUCGAAAGCAUCAUCAAAUCCAAACUUGUUCUUGAGAAGAUCAACCUUUUCAAAUUUUUAAAAAUGUAUGUGCAAGGUUAGAAUGCUUCCAGAAGUAAUAUAGUUCUUUGGGGAAGAGAUCAAUUGUAAAGAGCCAAAAGAGACGUUAAUAUUAUCAGUAUCAGGCAAACCAAGGGAGGCAAUUCACCUUUUCUUUGCUUCCAGCACUUCCAACAACAUAGCAACCUAACAAUUUUGCAAAUUGUCCAACGAUCAGACCAACUGCCCCGGAUGCUGAAGAUACGAAAACCUUUUCUCCUUUUUCUGGUUUGCAAACCUCAAAGAAUCCAGCAUAGGCAGUAAGACCAGGCAUACCUUUAUAAUUUUUUCGAAAGGCAUUAGAUUCAGUCCAAAAUGAACUAAAGCAAUUGCAGCAGCAGCUAUAGAAAUAUGCACAUUGCCGAAAAGAUUUUUUAAGUAUGGUACUUACCGAGCAGUCCAAUAUAGUAGGAAAGAGGUACAUCAGUAUGCUCAAUCUUGAAAAGAGAGUCAGGUUCUGCUAUGGGACUGUAUUCUUCCCAUUGUGUUAUACCCCAUACCAGAUCACCUUUCUUGAAGUUUGGAUGCCCUGAAUCCACUACUUUGGCAACCCCAAACCCAUUUAUUGGCUGCACGUUAUAGCAAUAUGAUCAAUCAAUGCAAAAUUAAAUCUCCAGAUAUGCCACUCAUGUCAUCACAACUCAUAACUAGCAUGAUAAGCAAAGAUUAAGCACUUGUGUUCAUAUUUCAUGCCCCUCAAACCAUUCACAUUGACAAGACAUUUCUUUCAAAAUAAGCACAGAAAAAUUGGAAAGGAGAAAGGAAAUAUUUUCAAGAAACAGUACAUACUGAGCCAGGGGUGUAAGGAAUAAAGCCAGUUUUACUACGAGCAGGCUGAGACACUUGCAUGAAACGGCGCAUAAACGGGUCACUUGACAGGUACAGAUUCUUAACCAGCACUCCAUUUGAUCCUUCUGCCACUUUCAAGCUUAUAGUGCUGUCGGUGCUGAUGAUCAUAUCUGAUUCUUUGGGGAAAUCACUAACAUAAUCUCUCAGCAGCACCUGCUUGUUCUUCACUAUCUCAACUUCUGCCAUUGCUCAAUUAUUACUCUGCUACUGCUCAAUAUUUUGGUUAAUGUGUUUCUUGCAAAGCUUUGCCUCCUUUAUAUACAGUAUUUCAAAAGGAAGAGAUAUUGGGUGAGGCUAAUCUUUUUGGAGGCAAGGCAAAAGCAAAAUUCAAUUGAUGGCAGGUCCUUGCAAGAAAAAUUAGUUUAACUAGUCAAAUAAGAAUAGUCCAAGAUGACAUUAACAUCAUGCAUGACAAAAAAAAAAAAAGUAGCACAAAUCAUAAGUUAACAACUUGAAAAGAAAAAAAAAAACAAAUGUGUUUGUCUUCAUCAAAUCAACGUCAUUUAUGCCAUCAUCUUCAUCCAACGCAUCUAUACUAGGCAAUCUUGCUUUAGUAAUCAUAGGUUUUGAUAUUCUCCACUGCUUGCUCAUCUUUCUUUAACAGUGUAAUCAUAGUUGGCAAUCCAUGUAACCGAUCUAGAUUCUCUACAAUCACAAUAGUGGGAUUGCAGAGAACAGCUCAUGGUGGAAGACGGAUAAUUUUGAAUUUGGAUGGCUAGGAUUAAAUGCUGGACGCGAUAAAUAAUAAAAUUUGAUGUUUUAUUACAUAUUUACAUGUUGCGUUAGUGUUUGUGAUUUUAGUAAAGGGAAAAUCAUUUAAAGGAUUUUAUCAAAUGAAUUUUUUCAUCCUUUAUUUUAAAAUGGCAACUUUACAUCCCUUAUAAAAUCAAGUCGAUAAAAUUUAGUUUUAACCUAAGUUUUUUUAUCACUUUUUACCCUGAAUCAACACAUGGGGUCUUUUUUGAAGCAAAAACGUUAGAUCUCAUUUGUAGUUAAACAGAAAAUGAUCCGAUCAAUAUUUAUUUUUUUCCCCAAAAGAAGUAGAAUUUGAUCUAAACCAUACUAAUUUUUUUUCCCUAAAAAAGUGAGAUCUGAUACAUUUUAUAUUCAUUUCUGUUACUAAAAGGUUGGGAGCCGACCUUUUUGUAUAUAAAAAAUAAUUGCAUAUGGGUCACGUGGUGAUUUCAGACCAAAAAGUAAUUGAAAAUUUAGAUUGCGACUAAAUUUUACUAACUUGAAUUUAUAAAGAACAUAAAAUUAACAUUUUAAAUAAAAAGAUGAAAAAAUUCGUUUCGCAAAAUAUGAGAGAUGAUUUGAAUGAUUUUCUCUUUUAUAAAUUUGCUGUAUCAAUAUCUAUAUUGCAAUUGGUCCUAAAUCCCUUGGUACUUGAGCAACUAGUCAAACAGGUUCCUUCCAAAUAGACUUGUCGUCUCAAUGCAACAUAUAUACUGUUGGAAACUUUUCAAAAUUUGUAUGAUGUACAUACAUGAAAUUAAUGUGUAUUCAUUGAUUUUUGGUACAUGUAUAGUAUUGUGAAUGUUUCUAAAAUGUACAUUCAUUUAUGAAUGUAUUCAUGUAUAUGGGAAUUAUUGAAUGAAAGGAUAGAUUCAUGUUUUGAUCUAAUGAUCAUGAGAUGCAUGAAUUAAAGUGCAUGAAUGUGUACACAAUACUUUGAAUCUAUUCAUACACAAUACUUUGAAUCUGUUCAUACAAGUGUUUAAUGAGAUCCUUUAUUUCCCAAACAAUCUUCCUAUAUAAAGAGGUCAAGUAGAGAGUGGUUUGCGGCAGAAAAUCACUUUCCUACUAUCCUUACUCUCUCAAAAGCACUCCUUAGUUCACAAAGGGUUUGUCUUGCUUUGUGCAAGAGUGAAAGACAAACAAAACUUCAUCUUAUCCUAAAGGAUAUUUGUCCAAGGUUAUUGCACGUUAUACCGGACAAAUAAAGCCUAAAGGAAAGUGAUUUCUAUCGCGAUUUGAAGCCAAUUCUUGUCACAAUAUUUGCCAAUUCUUUGCUUUUUACCCAACAUAUACGACACAUUACAAAUUUGAAAUUUAAGAAACUAAAGACUUGUGUGAUAAAGUUUGAUCUUUGAUACUAAAAUUCUAAACAAAAUUGAAUACUAAGAAACUAAAAGACUUGCUUGAUAAAGUUGACCUUUCAGCAUGAGCCAACCUGAGAUUAUGGACAUUAUUCAUGCCUGUUACAGGAUGCUCUUUCAUAAAUUUCGGCUCGCGUAGGAGGAGAAAAUUGACCAUACAUAUACAUGUGUAACUUGGAGUUAUGGAACUCUGAAUAUCCAAAACAUGCAUCAUUUGGAGUUAUAGAGUGUGCGGUGUACAGUAUUUGCUGUUAAAGAAUCGCAUUGGACAAAAAAAAAAAAAAAAAGGCGUUUCUUGAAAAGUUAAUCUCGGUUUGUCUUUGAAUUACUAGUAAUAAGUCAUCUGCUUUACACGUGAUUAUAAGGUCACAAAAUAUAAUAUCACUUAUGCAUAUAAAUAUUUUUGUGAAAUUUUAAUUGUAACAUCGUAAUUUAAUAUUUUCUUAUUUUCAUCUUCUUAAUCAAUUGUCUUAAAAAUGUUAUUAUAAUUUGAAAGAGAUAAAUGUACAUCUCAAGUGUGAGAGCACCAAAUAGGGUUUAUAAAUACUUAUAAAGUAAAGGUCUAAGCUAUAAUGUCAAAAUCUAGAGGAACAUUUGCGUCAAUAUAUGAAAUUCACUAAUACUUAUAAAAUAAAGGUUUAAAUAAUAAUAAUACAAUAUUUAGAAUUCGUAUAUUUUCCAAACACUUGAAACUUCCUAGCUCAAAAUUUUGGAAUAUACUCAGCCUUGAAAAUUUUAAGAAUUUAUGCACCAAUCAUUGUACUAGUCUUUGAUUUCAACUUUUGACAUUAAACAUUACCAUGAGAUAUUAGGAUUUAUUAACUUGCUAACAAAUAAAUGGAGAAAAAAAUAGAGAAAUGGAGGAUGACAAAGUAACAAAUAGUACUCAAGGUUUUUUUUUUUUUUUCUUGGUCAGAACUUUCAUCUUACUGUUCAAUCCAAUCCUCCACAAUCAGGACUUAACCUAAUUAAUAAUAAUCAACAUAAAAAAAAAAACUUUUGAAAAUUUUUUAUAGUCGGCGAAACGGGGCCACACGAACAAGUAAUGAUUGGCCAUAAUAAGUCAGAUGAUCACAAAAAUUUAGACACGUAAACAUGGGCUUCAAUUUAUAAAUACUACAAAAAUUGACCUAAGCAUAGCUUUCCAUCAUAUUUAAGGUUAUCUUGCUAUGAGCUAGUAGUGGUCAUUGGGUCCAUCCUGAUUUUCUGGUUUUGUAAGCAAGCAAUAAUUACGAUGGAUUGAGAUUAUCUCCGAAUUAAUAAAGCUCCUCAGCCACCUUCUCGUAAUAAUAAAAAUAUACGCAAAAUGUGACACUUGUUGUGUGAUGCAUUGGAUGGUCGGCACUUUCAGGGUUUUGACACUUGUUGUUCUCCCUAAAUCUGAUUUAAUUCAUUUUUCAAAUAGCCACGCCAAAAUCAUUGACACAAAACACAAACGAUAAAAGCCCCUUAGGACAAAGGGAUUUGUGCAAGCAUGGAUUGGCCUUUUAGACGCCUCGGAAAGGUCAUCUACCAGUAACAAAUACUCCUUCCGUCCGUCCGUCCCACUUUGAUAGUCAUGUUUCUUUUUUCACAUAGUUUAAGAAAAAGUACUCCCUCCGUCCCACUUUGAUAGUCCUGUUUUCCUUUUUUGUCUGUCCCAAAUUGCAGUCCACUUUCCAAUUGAAGAAUGUAGUUGUAUUUUCAUUUUCCUAAAAUACCCUUAUUCAAUACAAGUUGUUGUUGCUAUAAACCUACCUCAUUUAAUGAGAGUUGAUUCUUUUUUUACCAUCAAUUCAAGUUCCCAUAAAGUUGUACUCUAUUUAAUGUGAGGGUAUUUUAGGAAAAUAGCAAUCUAAAUUUACUUUUCCAACAAAGUUAACUACUUUUUCUUAAACUGUGUGAAAAAAGAAACAUGACUAUCAAAGUGGGACGGAGGGAGUAGUUAAUUUUAUUAGAAAAGUAAAUUUAGAUUGCUAUUUUCCUAAAAUACCCUCACAUUAAAUAUGGUACAAUUUUAUGGGAACUUGAAUUGAUGGUAAAAAAAGAAUCAACUCUCAUUAAAUAGGGUAGGUUUAUAGUAACAACUACUUACAUUGAAUAAGGGUAUUUUAGAAAAAUUAAAAUGCAACUACAUUCUUCAAUUGGAAAGUGGACUACAAUUUGGGACAGAUGAAAAAGGAAUACAGGACUGUGGGGCGGAGGGAGUAGUAAAGUGGGGCUAUACCCCCAGCGUAACUCCAAUGUUUUAAGUUAACUAUUAAGGUAGAAUGUAAGAAGCUCUAGAGUGAGUAAUAGUAACUUGUCACAUGUGGCAGUCUGAAUAUAAUGUGACAAGAUUAAUAGGAUAAAAACUGAAUAUAAAAGCUUCUGGCAGUCUGAAUAUAAUGUUAGAUUGGAGUGUUUUAUUUUAUGUUUAUUGUCUUCAUAAUUCAAAUUUAAGUAAAAUCACAAAUUUUUCCUGUUUAACUGCUGCAUUUAUUUAUCAUGGUAACAAUAAAAUAAAUCUAAUAAUUAGAGAGAAGGAAGGGUAUUUUGGACGUAAUAAAAAAUUAAGACCACAUCCAACUUUCAUGAUCUACCUAGACCCACCGUACCCGCCCUACUUUUAUAUACUUGGGAUUCUCGGUGACAUGUUUUCUAUGCCAACCCAAUGCCACCUAUAAUAUUGUGCCAAGUGUCCUGUUAUUAUUUACACUUGUGUUAAACCAAACCAAGUUGAAUUAUUAAAAAUUAAACUGUAAAUAAUAAUGGGACACUUGGCGCAAUAUUAUAGGUGGCAUUGGGUUGACAUAGAAAAUAUGUCACCGAGGAUCCCAAGUGACUUUUAUAAGGAGUAUAAAUAGAUAUAUAUACUCAUUGGGCUAAUAACUUCUUCUUGUGCUUGGUCAAACUGAAACUCCAGUUUAACGUUAGUGCAAUUAACAAAACCCAACUUAGGCUCAUUUCAUCUUGAGUUUGGUCAAAAUCAAAUUCCAAAAGGACAUACUACUAACAUCUAUUGUCAUGCCAAAUGUUAUCACUUUAACCAUGUUACACAAACUUAUGUAUGCGCAGGAUCCAAGUCAAGCACCCAAGGCAAUUUGCGCCUAUAUAAUAUUCCAAGAGGAGAUAUCCUGUUGGCCCCAGAUGUAUAUAAUGGCCUUGGGGUCAGGGCAGGUUGGGUGAAAUUCUCAAUCUCUGCAGCUGCAAAUGCCUUGAGAAAGUUCUGGCUCUAAUUGUGCUGGAUACCGAAUUUGGCACCCCAAGAACAGUCCUCACAAGCUUAGCAUUCAAUCAGAGAGGAGAAGGAAAUCGCAACAGAAAGAUCAAAUUCAUGACAGUGGAAGUGAAACCACGAAAUGCUUUUGGUGAUGCAAGAAAAUGCCACCUAAAGUUUGUAUGACCUAAAUCCAAAACUUUCCAUACCCCAUACAAAAUGACAACUAAAACUUUUGGAUCCCUUUUUGUUCUUUUAUUCAGUCAGAACAUGUUUCUCUUGACAGAAUUCUUUCACAUAAACUGGGACUUAUCAUCCAAGCACAAGCAGUAGUAAACAACCUUACAAAUAUAGACUCUUGCCACUCAGUUCAAAAUUUCCCCUCCGAAAAUAGCUCGCUUUUCCCAUCAAAUUCAGUCGAUUUACAAGUAAGAGUAUAAGCAAAUUCCUGGUGGUUCAGAUUCAGUAUUUGGAACUUCACCAAUCCGAAAGAAUCUUUAGCAAUAACCAAGGCAUUAACCAGUUAACCAAAAUAUCCCUAAGCUGAUUAACAAAUUCAUGCAAGCAAUAGCCACAUCUAAACAUUCCUUUCUCCCCUGAAUCAAAGUAGAUUCGAAUGAGCUAAAGAAGCCCUUAAAAUACACUCUUUUCCACCUAAAUCCUCUAUGCCAAUUGGCCAUAGCAGGUCAGCUUGACAGUACAGGGGAUACAACAGUAUUCAUGGUUCAAUAUUUUCUCACUCAUCAUGUCACUUGCAAAUAUCUAUACCAAAAGUCUGUCUAUAAGGCCAACUACAACAGGAAAUUUGUUUUAGAGGUACACCAGAGAGCAGUAAAGCAAGUCAUAUGUAAUAAACAAUCCUAUCAACCAUGGUAAGACUAGAACUAUGAAAAUCUAUUUCAAGAAAGGGAGCACAAAGGCCUUCAAAUUGGCAAAUGACACUUAAAACAGGCCUAAACACUGAGGAUGAGAUACUGCAAACAUAUGCAGACGUUGAAAAGAAUCGGUCAGCUGUCCAGCUCUGUUCCAAAUUUUCCCUCUUCUUGCAGAUAUAUCCACAGUUAGUCUCACUGAACAUGCUUAGAGCUUCAAAUUUUUAGGACAAUCAGGAUAUAGAUCAUGCAAUAGAGACACGAUGGAUGAAAGUAUUCCCAUGACAUUGUAUAAUAAACUGUGCUGAUAUUCUAGAAUAUUACAACAUGUACUUCCGUCCGAAAUCUGCGCAAGUACUUGGAUGAAACAUCUGAGAAAGAAAUAUCACAGUUGGGGGCUUAUUUGGCUAAUCCUCAAACGAAUUAAGUCAACUAGGACACACCUUUGUUCAAAGGCAUAUCAUCAGGAAAAGAAUAUCACAGCAUUUCAGAGCAUUCUAUUAUCUCCAUGCUGCAACCUCUUAUAAUCUCUCAGCAGCUUCUUCCUUGCUGAAAUUGACAUUGUAAACCAUAUGGGAGAUGAGUGAUGCGGUUGGCUUGGGCCUAGGAUUUGGUUGAGGAAGAGGACUUGGGGACAGUUGAGGUAGCGAAGUUUCUAAGUAGAUUCAUGCUUCAGUAUGGAAAUUCUAUGAGCUCUCAAAUGAAAAUGUUGCAUGUUAGAAUGAAUAUUGGAAGAUUCGGAAAAGUUAAAGCAUGGCUUAGAUGGCAAUUUUAAUUUCAAGAAGACUACAGAUCCACAUUAGAUAAGAUUGAUUAUACCCCAAAUCAGAUACUUGAGAAGAGAUGGAGUCGAAAAUCUAAAUAAAUGCCAGUCAGUUAAAAUUCCUGCUAAAGCAUACUACCUAAAACUGAUAAAUGAAAGGAAGUACAAUACAAAACGCUUGCUUGACAACAAUUCUUAGCAGAUGCUACAUAUUUAAUUGUUCAAUAAAAGCCUGGUAGCACUGUAGUUUCUUUGAUCUCUUCAGAGGUGUAGAUGCUACACUACUGAGCUUAUUCACAAAACCAUUCAACAGUAGAAAGUUCUCUGUCUCUCAGUGACAAAGUUGAGUUACAUUGUGCAGUAACUAGUGAAACUGUGUGACAGGUUGGCUAUCCAAGGCCUCUCUAGCUUUAAGUAAAUCUGAACAUUAUCACUUUGCUAAACUUCAACUCGAUCAGCAAAUGACCUGUUCCCACGAUCACUAUAUGAAGAACCAUUUGAUUCCAGCAAUUCCGACAUACAUCUCCAGGUCUGUGAUGAAGAAGAUUGGCCCAAUCUUCAUCUUAAGUGCAGCUCACAUCCAACUGGAAAAGUGCAUCAGUUAGGCAAUAAUCAUCUGCAUGAGCCCAUAACCCUUCAGCCACUAUAGACAAUGUUAACCGCUUGUACCAUUUCAUACCGCAAUCUGCAUCAGUUCAAGUGGAUAAUUUAUCACUAAAUGCGGACCAAGGAAUAUUGUCCCGGAACAUACCAUGCUUGGAUUUUUUUUCUUCAGAAUGCUUCAUUCUCAGAUCUGCGUUCACCAAAUCAAAUAGAACCUGGUACUCCUCCUGAGACCAGCAUCCUCUCUUCAAAUUUUUAACUCUUAUUCAGCGUUAAGCAUCCUUCACGUGAAUCCCAUGUUUGCCAAGUUCAUCAGCCAAAUGCUUCCAUUGGUUCCCAUGUUUCUCCUGGAACUCAUGGACCGGUUUGAUCUCUUCUUCAGUCCAUUUAUGUUUUUCAUCCCUUCAAAACAAAACUUGAGCAUGAUGUUAGAUGGCACUUUGAGGCCGAUUGCUAAGCAAGUUCCUAUUUUCUUCCAGCAAUUCCUGACUUCAGGGUACAACAUGCAGUUCAAGGCCAUUUUCAAACCUUCUUCACCUAAGCAAUGUGCCUCUAUGCAUUCAAGGACAGCUUCUUUCACAACCUCAUCUUCUACUUUUGAAAACCGGUUGCCCACACUAGCUAUCAUCAGAUGAAGGGGCUGAAAAGCUUACUCUUCUCUUACUAUUCUUUGGUUAGGGUCUUCCGAACCAUUAUCCACCAAUUUGGCACUUGUUUUCUUCCCUUUACUCCAGUUUUUCAAAUCUGCAACCACUUCCUCAUUCACAGUUGCAUUAGCAUACCCUUCUGGUUGCACUUCAGCCAGACUCCCCUGCUCAAAGCACUCGAAACAUCGUUUUGCUUUCUCUCGUGUCUCUUCCUCUUCAUCUUUUCUCGCUUCUGAACACUGUCCAAUUCAGAGUCUUCGGCAAAUGCUUCAAGAGUAACCCUUUCUCCACUUUGAUUCUUGUUCUCCUGCACUUCAUUUUCUGCCAAAUAAGUUUCAUCUUGUUGUGAAGCAGUCAUAUCCACCUCGAGUUUUUGCUUCUUUUUCUUCUUCUUUUUAUCAACCAUUUCAGCAACAUCCCCAUUCGGAACCUGCACUAAUUCUUCCACGCCCUCCCCAUUUUCAUCCUGCCACCCUUUGCAUCCUCAAAAUCUUUCUCUCGAACAUGAUAACCAGAGCCUACACUGUUAGUCUUCUUUCUCUUUCUCUUCUUCUUUUCAACCAAUUCCACAACAUUCCCAUCAUGCUUCCUUCCCUCAUCAAUAUCAAACUGUUUCCCACCGUCAUUUCCUUUCUCCACCCCCUUGUAAACCAUCACCAUUAUCUUCACCUUCAUUGUGUUUGUGCUUCUUUUUCUUCUUCUCCUUCUUCUCCUCGAUGUACCCUCUUUCGAUAGCACUUUGACCACCCGCAAUCACCUCAUUAUAGCCACCAAAUUCGUUUUCUAGAAUUGCUAUACCACUACCCUCGUUCUUCAUAUCUUUCUUAGGCUCUUUACUACCAUCUAAUUCACCUAAUUUCUGCUUCUUCGGCACAAUAAUCCCUCUUACCAUAAUCCUUCUUUUUUUUCUUUUUUAGUUGCUUCUGCCAAGAAAGUAUCAAACAAAUGAAUCAAGAAUCCCAAAUUUUCUACGUUUCCCUUUACAGAUAAACAAAUAUAGCAGACUAAUUCGUCAGCUGAAAAAGCAGGUAAAACCUUAAUCAUCAUUCAACAAAAGAAAUGAAAUCAUUUUGAACAAGUAUUCGUUCUUGGAAGAAAAUUUUGAAAUGUCCCUCCCAUGACUAGCAUUACAUCAAGGGGAUUAACGGCAGCUACAUGGUUGUGGCUACACGGCUAUCAAUAGGUUUGGAGAUCGAGAUUUUGGUCACUAACACAACAAAACAACUAGAAUCUGAAGUUGAUAUAUCAUCACGCAAUUCUGACAAAAUUUAUUAACGUGUAAAGGCCUGCAUGAAUAGUAACUUAAUAUUUAUAUCUCUGUUACAAAAUUAGAAAUAAUUUUUUGUAAUAGAUUAUAUUGUGUUUACGAAUUGUUAAACCAUUUAGAAACAGUUAUAUUGACAAUUGCUUUUCUCCAUCUACCAUUCUUAGGGGCUUGCGACAAGGUCUCAAGAUUUCUUGGGAUUUUUGACUUAAAAAAAAACUAGAAAACUGAAACUAAUUCAUGGCUUAUCAUGUAAGUAACUAAGGAUGCCAGUUUGAAGUUUGUUCAACGAAUUGAUAAACCCUUUGACUAGAAAUAUAUAAAUGUUCCAAAUCAUCCUGUUCAUGAGAAGUCUCUUUUAAUGCAUAUACGGCAAAUGCUAUUGAGGUUAAGAGCUAUUACUAUUAGUAUAUCUAAAUUAUACUUAACCAAAAUUAUCGUGUGUAUGUACGUAUUCACAUUUAUUGUAUAUUAUUGUAAAAGAUUAGGGUUAUUAUCACUGUACUCUCUUAAAUUAUAUCACUACUAUUAAUUUAUUCCAUAACGUUAUCUUUAGUUACUUUACCCUCCAUAGGUAAUUCAAUUCAGCGUAUUAACAAAGUUUGGAUAAAAUUACCCUUUUAUUUUACAGCAUUACUACAUUGUCAUUAUCACUUUAGCCCUUUAAAUUAUAGUGAUACAAUUGUUUUACUCUUUAACAUUAUUUUUUAAGCGUUUUACCUCAUUGUUAACCUAACUAGUAUGUUCAAAAAAAUUCUAAUGGUUAUUUACCUUUUUUUAUAUAUAAUUAAAAGUUAAAAAGCUAGAAUGAUUAUUCUUCCGUUUUUUUCACCCUAAGAGUUCCAAAAACAUAAAAAUAAAAGAAUUUUCUCAAAUUUUUUUCUUCACACUUAUUGAUACUAGGAAAAGAAAAUGAAAUAGGAGAAAAUGAGAUAGAAAAUUAAAUUUUUGCAAAAAAAGAAAAUAGGGAAGAAUCUAAUAUUAUCGUAUUACUUUAACAUCAUCUGGAUUAAAAUAAUUUUAAACUAAUAAAAAUAUUGAAUUUUUUCUUAUAUGUAUUUUUUAUUAAAAAAAAAAGAAUUGAUCUCUCUCUUCCCCCCCCCCCCCCACCACCACAAAAAAAAUUAUAUCGUUGUAAGCCUGUACCUACUAGACCAGCUACUCAGAAUGUCCCUAUGUGAAUACGUACUACAUUAACAUUAGUUUCUGGACAAAUUAAUAAUGUUCUUGGGCCAUUCUUUCAUCUUUUAUCUCCAAUUGAUGUCAAGUUGGAUGCUUAAUACUUGAGGAAUCAUGGAUGCCAAUACUAAAAAUGCUUCGAUACCUCCUGAUCCUGCAACAAUUUAACAAUGUAGCAUACAACAAGAUUGGAAGAAGUAGAUCAGACUUAUGGCAUUGAAAUUGAAACCUUCAAACACUUUCUGAUAUACUCUGAAGUCAAUCAAAAGAUGCACUGGGACUUACAAUAGUAGCCUUUCUAAGUAGCCAUUCUCAACCUUACAACAGUAUUCCCUCAUCAUCCAGAAAAAGGAAGCUGAACUGGAUAGGGAGAGUUUAUUGCAGGGAACCACUCUAUAGAUUGAUAAAAAGUGACAAAAUUUCUGUGCUAAGCAGAAUUCAUUCACGAGCUACUACAAUAACCUGUUUUCCAACGUUGCGACCGCUAAAGAGACCUGCAAGGGCUGCAGGGACACUUUCAAGUCCUUCAGCGAUAUCUUCCACAUAUGUUAUCUUUUUCUCGCGGAUAUGAGGCAACACAAGAUCCAAAAAUUUUGUGUAGUGGGGAUAGUAUUCAGCGGCAGAAUAUCCUCGCAUGUUGAUUCGCUUGUGAAUGAGCCACAUCAAGUUCUUUACUCCUUCAGGUUCAUCAAGAUUGUACUGUGAGAUCAUUCCACAAACAGCAAUUCGACCGAACAUGUUCAUAUUUAGGAGGACAGCAUCCAGCAUCUUUCCCCCAACAUUUUCAAAGUAGAUAUCGAUUCCUUCAGGGAAAUGCCUGGUUUGAAGCAAAUGUUGAUGAUUAAUGACCGAUAUUGCAUUCAAUUCACUUUAGCCAAUGGACCAAAUACUAGCCACAGAAAUUUUGAAUGCAUGAAUCUUUUGCAAGCAGAACCUGGUUGAAUCAAAUUCUUAAGGUUGGAUUCUGUACGUUAUCUGGAUUUCAUACAUUUUAUGACAUUGAAACAGAAAAUUAGAAUGAGAAGAAUAUGUAAUCAUACAUAUGCUCGAGUAAAGGAAAGAGGGAUUGUAUAGCAAAUCAAGUUCAAACAUUUAUCUGAAAAUCAGCUAGUCUCUGCUUUUCUUAUUCUUUCCUGCUUUUGUUGAUAGCAGAUCUUCAAAAGCUUGCUAACAAUAUUGGCUUGAGAAUACUUGUAUAGAAAGCCUAAUUAAAGAGUCACAGAUUAUGUUAAAAAAUUUUUGAGUCAUGUAACUAUAGUCUAGUGAAUCAUCUGUUUGUAGUUUCUGAGGAAAACUUAGACAUCAAGUGAUUAUUCCAAGGAAAAGAUAGAAUAGAAAAAAGUAGAUUACUGACCUUUUUAAAGCAGCAUCCAAGUCAUGUUCUUCCUUGUAAUUGAAUGCGCCAUCAAAACCAAACUUGUUCUUCAAAAGAUCAACCUUGUCAAAUAAUUAAUAGAAGCACAUGAAAGUUAGAAAUGGACCAUGGCUAAAAUCAAGUGAGGUUGAAGUUUUCACAAAUUUGUUUUCUAUGUUUGUUUUGCAGGGUGAAAAGUGAAAGAGGGGGAGAAUGGAGUAGGAAAACAAGAUUAAGUUCAAACAUUUACCAGGUAACACAGCAAAGGGACUGCAAAUGGUGGCAGACCUCAGUAGCAUACCAAAUCAAAUAAUCGGAAUGGUUAAAAAAGCCAAAUCACACUGGCUAGAUUUUCCAAAUUCUCAUAAUCAAACUUUUAGUUGAACUUGAUUUCAGAAGAUCCAGGCUUUGAUCACAAAGUUAAAGGAGAAACUACCAAACUGAGACUACUGACGGCCUGUAGUUAAGAGUAGAAGUAGCAGGCUGCAAAUUCAACUCGGUAUGAGGUUAUAGAAGUUGAUAAUUGUGCCAAACAUUUAACAGAAAUUCUUAAAAACAGUUGAUAUUUCAUAGUAGCUACAUCCAUGCUAAUCAUUCAGACAUAAUGUUUGCCUGAGAUCUGAGGCUAAAGUUCAUCAAUAUUUCCUGUACAACUUGGAAGGAGCAAAGCAUAGGGGGUGGUCAAUUACCUUUUCUUUACUUCCAGCACUUCCAACUACAUAGCAGCCUGUCAGCUUUGCAAAUUGUCCAACGAGCUGGCCAACUGCACCAGAUGCUGCUGAGACAAAUACUUUCUCUCCUUUCUUGGGAUUACAGACCUCAUAAAAUCCACCAUAGGCAGUAAUGCCAGCCAAACCUAAACAAAGUGAAGCUUUUCUACUUUCAAAGUGAAAUGUUGCAGAAAGUAACAGCGGCAAUUAUGUCGAUGAAGUUUAUCUCUCAAUAACAUAGAUGAAUAGGAUGGGGACUGAAACAACUUUAAGACUAGACUAAAUUUCUGAUAUAAAGCAAAAAUUGUGCAGCCAAUAGACUGAAAGUCAUAUCAUGAUUUUUGAGUGUCAUGUAAAGCAGUGUAAGGCUGAUCAUUAGAUUCAUUAGCGCAUAGGUGAAAAUUAUCAAACAACUCACAAAUUAAUGUUCCAUACAGAUACAUGAAAUUCCUAGAAAUACUAGAUUGUGGAUUUCUUGCUAUCAGAGUAUACUAUAGUUUCAAAAAUCAGAGCAUUAAAUUUUUGCGCUGCAAAUUCACUUGUUAACAAAUAUAGUAGUUAUCAAUCAAGCAUCGAACUUACCAAGAAUUCCAGUAUAGUAGCUAAGAGGGACAUCUGUGUGCUCGAUCUUGAAAAGCAAAUCAGUUUCUGUAAUGAGACUGUAUUCCUCCCAUCCAGCCAGUCCCCAUACCAAGUCAUCCUUCUUGAACUUUGGAUGGCUUGAAUCCACUACUUUAGCUACCACAAACCCGUAAAUAGGCUGCAGUUACCCCAUUACAAAUAGUCAAGCGUCAAAAUUUCAAAUCUUGAACUCUACAACUACCAACAAUCACAAUAAAUGACAACUUGCACCCGUCAGUACUUUCGUUUAAUUCUUUUGAAACUACUCAAAACUCUAAAUCUUUUCAAGGAAGUUUUUUGGUGACUUAUCUUCCUCUCUAGUAGCAGAGUAAGUUGUUUUUCCAACUAAAUUUUUGACAUAUAAAAGGAUCUCAAUCUUUCUCAAUCUCUGUAAAGAAAGCAAGCAGAGAAAAGGGCAUCCAUAAGCUAAAAUCUUUUAAGUUUGAACAUGUUCCGGUUGAUUACUAGCCGGAUCAUGUAACUGACUAACAUCUCAAGUAGACAAAAAUGCCAGCACCUUGCUUUGGACUAACAGCAUAUAAAAUCCGAUUCAGAGAAUUAAAACAAGAGAUUAAAGCACAAACAAGAAAAAUAAUGUAUCUGCAAGAAAUCUGAGGAUGUGAUCACAUACAGAGGCAGGCUUGUAAGCGGGAAACGGGGUUCUACGAUUGGGCGCCGGCUUUCGCAUUAGACCUCUCAUGAAAGGAUCACAUGACAAGUAGAGGUUCUUAACCAAAACCCCACUUGAGUUUUCUGGCACUUUCAAGCUUAUGGUAUUUUCUGUGCUGAUGAUCACAUCUGAUUCUUUCGGGAAGCCAGUAACAUAGUCUUUCAACAGCACUUGCUUGUUCUUCACUACCUCAACCUCUGCUGCCAUUGCUGAAAUAUCAAUCUAUUUGCAGCAGAAUGUGUGUUGUGUGUGCUUGUGGACGCUGUAUAUACUUUAGAGCAGUGAACUCUUUUCAGGUUUGUUUGCUGGGAUUUUGGAGCAAAACUCUUCUGUUUUUAUAGAGGGAAAUGUCUAAGCUUUUGAUGUAGGUAAUGACAUCAGUAGCUGGAUAUAGAAAGUUAAAAAUAUGCAAGAUAAAAGAAACAAAAUGACUUCUACUUAUUUCUUUUGAAAGAUGAAGAAAAAGAGGGUAUUGGUCAAGGCUAAUUAUUAACUAAAGCUUGUACAAGAUUGACUAAUCCUCAAUCUAAAAAUAAAUAAAUAAAACAGAAAAGAGACAUUAAACUCUCUCCAAUUUUGAUCAUUGAUAUCAUUUCAUCCCAUGGUAGAACUGUGUUUGGGGUCUCAAUAAUGCAUAGUUGAUAUCAGGAUCAUGUCAAUCCUUAUGGCUCUCAUGGAAGUAGCUGUUCUCUUGGAUGAACCUGUUUUUUGGACAAUUGUAGAUACCAUUUUUAGGAAACUAAUUUUUAUUUUGCAAAAUAUAACUAAUUUUUAGGAAACUAAUGAGAAAGUUCACUAAAAAGAAUGGCCCUCAAACUAUUACAAAAUUUAAUUUUUGGCUCCUCAACUAUUAACCGGCAAGUUUUACCCCUUUAACCAAUUAAAACAUAAUAGUAUAAUAUUAAUCCUUUUGUCAACUUUAAUCGUUAUGUCUAAUCGCACUACAUGAUUCUUUUAAGAUUUUAAAUUGGAACUUGGAGGAAAGCUGCAUCAUAGCUUAAGUUCACCAUUUUGGGGGAAGGCUUCCUCAUAGCUUACGUCACCAAAUUCGUUUUCUAAAAUUCAUAUAUCACUAACCUCCCCCUUUUUACUUUCCCCACCAUUUUUAAUUCACCUGCUUUCUGUUUCUAGUUUCUACAGCACAAUAAUUCUUGUUUCGCCUUUUUUUUUUUUUUCUUUUUUGGGCAAGCAAAUUUCCAACAAAUAAAUCAAGGACAAUAAAAUUUUUACAUUUCCCUUCAUAUAUAAACAAAUACAAUAGAUUAUUUAUAGCAAUUAAAAUUGAAAUUUUAAAAAUUAGAAGUUUGGAGGUUCAAUUCUCAUCCACCGUUCCUGCUUCUUAAUUUUCAUCCACCGUUCCUGCUUCUUAAUUCUCAUCCCUCUCUUGCUGGAUAGAAUUGAAAGACAGGAGAAGCUACAAAGGUCAAAUUAAGCAUACCUACUUUGAUGUUUUAGACUACAACUAAUUCUCUUGCUGGAUACAUAUUCAUCUAACGGUAGAAUUGAAAGAACGGUAGAAUUGAAAGAACGGUAGAAGCUACAAAGGUCAAAUUAAGCAUACCUACUUUGAUGUUUUAGACUACAACUAAUUUUCAUGUUGCAAAUUACAAGGUUUCGGCCUCCUGCUUGAGAGCCCAAAAUCUCAUUUUGGCCUAUAUGUUGGAGCAAAUUUUUCUUCCUUUUUCUUGUCAAAAGAUAAAGUAUUCCUUUAUGCGAAAAUGAAUAAUUUUGAAACCAAGGGGCAGUAAAAAUAAAAGACUGCUUCAAGGGCCUUGGAUGGAACCAAACAUGAUUUGGCCUUGAGAGCCUAAUGCCCUUAAAGAUUGAAUAGUUUCCAAUUUUGGAGUAAAUAUGCCCCCAUCAACCCAGUGGCUUCCCAUAUUAAAGCACAUCCCAUCUUUUCAACUUCUAUUCAAAAGGAACGGAAAAUACUACUACUUUUAGAAGUCUGUUUUCCAUAGCCUAAUCGUCAUACAUUCACAACAAAACCCCUUUUAGCCUGUAAGCAGAGAAAUGCUUUUCACUUCAACUUGUAGCAUCACCCACGGAAGGUAGCAUUGUUUGCAUUAACAUCACAAGCAAAAGUAAAUCAUGAAUGAACAUAAACAGGAAAUAAAGCUCCCGGCUGCAAGUAUUUAGUUAAAUCUAGAACAUUAAAAGCAUCAAUUAUCCUGAGCUGUAAUCCACUGUCAAGUAUCACAAUAGGAUCACGUCACAAAAUUUGGCUCAACAAAGAACUUUUCCCAAGCUAAUGGAAAGUAAAAUGCCACUCCUAAUAGAGUUUAUGAAUAUCUGCUAUCCCAAAAGCUCCAAGCCAUCUCCUUGAGCCUAGGCCACAAGGGUGCUGGCAGUAGUAGAUUCACUGCAAAUGAAGAGUUUUAUCAGCAUCUGCUCAAAAAGAUAAACUGAAAGCAAGUUGCAUUAACGUAAUGACCAAGCAUAGUUGUCAAAAGCAGGGCCAUUGCCAAAAGAUAUUCAUCACUAUUCAGACUGUUGUCAAGUAUAGCAUGCUCCACUAAAACCAAAAGCAUCACACACUUGUUUAAUUCUCCAAAAUAUGUUUUGAAAACAACUUCCAAACGUACAAAUGGAUUGUGGAUGCAAUGAAAAACCAUUGCAGAAUAGUGUGGAUGCAAUGAAAAACAAUUGCAGAAUCGCAGGACAGCCACAUGUACUACCGGACAACACAGGUAAGCAAGGAACCUCAAACAACUCCAUAAACCAAUUCUAUUCAAAAUUACCGGACAACACACGAGGAAGGAACCUCAAUCAGCUCCACAAACCAAUUCUUUCCAAACCAACAAGAGCUCCAAUGCUGACUUUCUGACUAUCUUGUGGACAGUUCCAACGGUACAACGUGAAGAUUGCCUUGACAGGCAAAAAAAUGGGGAACCAUUUCAUACAAGCGGAAGAGAUUAUGAUUAAGAAUUUAAAGAUGAUUGAGGGUGGCAAAGAGUGUGGAAAUGGAGCUCUCCAAAGUGUGGAAAGCUCUCCAAAGUGUGCAUCAUGGAGGCUGGAGGAGGAAACUUCAUACAGAUCAGAUUUUUAUUUUGGCAAGCAUGAAUGACACUUUAUAUGAUUUUCAAAGGAAAAAUUGUUGCCCAGUAGUUUGCUAAGGAUGCAGGACAAAACCAACACUGAAAACCUAUCUCCCAUUUCCUCCGCCAGAUCACCAAAGAGGUACUUGAAGAAGCACAGGAAAACCCCAACAGUUAAAACAGCCACAAGUCCUAACCAGCAAACUGGCAUCUCAGUAGGUAGUAAUGAAAACACGACGCCCAACGAGCAAACUGGCAUCUUGGCAUCUCAAUACAAAUGAAAACAAACACAUUGCGACAGAGAACAUGUAAUUAUCAGCUAAACAAACACAUUAAACAGACGAUAAAAAAAAAUCAACAGGGAGUAAAAGGGGGGUUGGGGGGAGGGGGGGAAUGAGAGGGCAGGCAUACUAUUUCCAGUUGGGAGGGAGCUUCUUGGUCUUCUUGUAGUAACGAGCGAGGCGGUGUAUCCUGCUCUCCACCAGAAUCAAUCUGAACUUGGAAUCCUUGUCCUUCCUGUUCCUCUCCAAAUGCUUCCUGAUUGCGACUGCCUUCUUGAUCAGAUGGUACAGAUCCUCUGGAAUCUCGGGUGCAAGCCCUACCCACCGAACCAAGAAAAAAAACAACAAUAUUGUUAUAAAAAAAAUCAAACAAAGAAAUGCUAAUGCAAUAAGGAAAAUGAUUUUUUUUGAAAUAUACCGUGAGCCUUGAGGAUACGCAAGAUUUUGCUGCCAGUGACACUCUUGACCUGCGCUAUACCAUGAGAGUCCCGAAGAAUCACACCAAUCUGAGACGGUGUCAUUCCCCUCUUUGCAAACUUGCAGAUGUUAUCUUCAACCUAUCAAUUUUCCAGAAAAAAAAGUCCCCAAAAAAAAAGAACAAUAAGAACUUGUAAACCUAGAAAAUUAGCAACACAACGAAAUUCUACUACUAACAUCCUGGGACGAGAUCUUCAGCCAGCUUGGCGGCGUUCUCUUGUAAGGAAGAGCCGAUGCAGAAAUACCCUUACUGGAUUUUCCAACCACCGGAAAAUUUAAAAACAAAAAAAAGAGGAAAAAGUCAGUGUCCUUUGCUUUACAAACGAAUUCAGCAAAAAAGAGCAUGAGUAAGAAAUUGCAUUUGUUUGUUUGUUUGUUUGUUUGUUUGUUUGAGAAGAGGGAGAUGAAGCAGACCCGCGACUGUGCAUACGACCCAUGCUGAUGGAGUGCGGCGGCGGCUGCGGCGGUGGUAGGGGAGGUGCUCAACCACGAACGGCGUUUACCUAAUACGAAUACGACUGGCCACAAGCCCGAUGCUGGAUAUGUUGCUAGCUACCAGUACUUACUAGGGUUUAAAACAUACUAUAUAGAUUGGGGUGUCAAUUGGGCCUCAGUUCAAAAAAUAAAUAAAGGUUUUGGAUUUUUAGGUUCGAGUCUAGUUUAGAAAUUUUUUUUUUUUUUUUUUAAAGAAGUUUAGAAAGUUCAAGCUCGGGUCAUCAUUUAAUGUUAUAGUAUGUAUAAUUAUUUAUUAUAUACAUCAUUUAAUAUGCAAUUAUAUAAUUUCUAUCGUUUCAGAAAAAAAAAUUUAAUAUGCAAUUAUAUAUAUGCUAGUGUUGAGGGCAUCUAGGGAACAAUUAAAAUGAAUUAAUUUUGUAUAAGUAUUAUUUGUUACAUACACAAAAAAAAAAAUUAUAUAUAACUUUCAUGAAAGAACUUUGGGGUACGUCAUUAUAGUAAUUUUUUGAUAUUUAAAAUGAUUAUGAGUAAUUGUAUUGACGAGAUGUGAUUAGGUGACUAAGGUAAAAAUCUAGUUUUAUAAGGGUGAAAUUGGAUGUUUCAAAGAUGACAAAAAGUGUUUACACCAAUUCUAAUUGCUUUGACAUUAUAUAUUGUGCAUAUUGCACAGAUAUUAUGCAUAUAACUUUACAUGUGAAUGGGUGGGGACUUAACUAGAUUUGAGUCUAGUGAGAUCCAAAUUCGCUCAUAUUUAAUUUGGACCUAUUAUUUAGACUUAAACUCUACCGAAUUCUGUUAAACAUAACACUUAUUGAGCUUUUUUUUCUUUCUUAUCAAAUGGUCCGAACUAGUCUGACCCUAUUGACAACCCUACUUCUAAGUUUCAUCUUUUAAUUUGUAUAAAAUUGUGAAGUUAAUUAGUACCAAUUAAGGAUUUACAUACUUUUUAGAGAAUUGAAUAAAGCUCUUGUAAUUGGCCUAGGAAUCAACAAAAAGGAGUUUUUUUUUUAUCCAUUUAAAACUCACAAGCUAUAAAAAAAUAAAUUCUAAUUUAUUAUAAUACUUCUUUCACCUAAUAAUUACUGCCAAAAGCCAAAAGGUACCCCCCAUAAAAAAAAACUUGCUUUAACCUUCCUCUUACGUAGAUUAUAUUAAAUUUACUACAUGAAUAAGAGACAGCUAUAUUGAAUUUAUAAUUUUCCUCUCAAAUCCAAUGGAGUCACAGUUUUUAUUUAUUCAAAAGCAAAAUCCAUCCUCUCGCGGAUAGUUCAACUGGUUCCAUAAUCUAGUAGUUACCAGCAGCACUCGUAAUCGAUCCCUCUGUGCUGCCUCGCUGUGUAUCCUUGGAACAAAAUUUUACAGAACCUUAAGGGAUUAGUCUGGCCAAAAGACUGGAAUACCCCAAAGUAAAAAAAAAACAAAAAACAAAAUCCAUGUCGCAAUCUUUGUCACCUCCUGCAAAGCCACUGUGCUGCCUAUUUUUCCUCCACUUCUUAACAGACUCUAUAAUAUAUCUCAUCCUUCUUUUGCUUAAUUUGCUUGGCCCUCUCCUUCAGCCUCUGUGCCUGCCUGUACCUCUUUGGCUAUUUUCUUGUUCUAUCCCCUUGCCUUUCUUCUUCUCUCCUCACUCUCCUCAAUCUUUCUUUUCUCUGCCAACAGUCGGUCCUUAACUUUCUCCAUCUGUGAGCGCAUCGGAUUCGACCAUUUCAGCAUAGUAAUAAGAUCAGGUGGCCUCAGGAAAAGGUAAGGUUUCCCCGUUGACCGAAGCUCCACCAAAGGCCUGCCUCGUACCCUCCAAUGCCUGCAUAUAGAAAGCAAGUUCCCUGUCGUUUGUAGCGGUCUUUGAAGGUUCAGUCAACUUCAAAUCUUCUUCUUCUUCUUCUGAAUCUGGUUCUGAAUCAACGACUUCAUUGUCAUGAUCCAUUUUUGUAGCCUAGUCUUACUGGUCGUAACUAGACAGCCGCCCAUAGGUUGCUGGUGAAGCUGAGUGGAUAUGAUUGUAACUUUUGUCAGCAAACAGUCGCCAUAGGUGAAGCCAUGUUGUAACAUAAUAAUAACUUUAACAUUAGUUUCUGAACCUAUUAACAAAUUAUGUUCUUGGGGCCAUUCUUUCUCUUUCGUAUUUCAGAAAGUUUGUGGAUGCGAAUAUCAAACAAUUCAACAAUGUAGCAGAUGAUUAAAUUCCAAGGGAGUAAAUCAAACAUAUGACUCUGAAUUUCAAACCCGAAAACUUUUGAACUAUUUAUAGGUUAAACAAAAGAUACACUCGACUUCAAUGAUAAGACCUGCUAAGUUUCCAUUCUGAACCUGAUCACCACUGAAGCCCCUCAUCAUUCGUAGAAAGGAGGAAGCUUUACUUGAUAGGUUAGUUUAUAGCAGAAAACCACCACACAAAUUGACAGAAGUGUUGUGCAGAAUU
rnacentral:lncRNA from 1 species